rnacentral:lncRNA from 1 species
AAAUAGAUGCAGGUAAUUAAUCAACAUAAAAGAAUGGUGUAAAACGUGACAUCUCCUCAAUAUACUUAGCCAGUUCCACCAAGAACAGCCUUAAGCUUCUUCACUGUAGCAUCAUCAAGGAAGGUAGUCGCCUCCACCAACGAAGAAGGCAAAUCAUUUGCAAACAAAGCAAAAUCAAGAAUCUGUAAGCCAGGUGUCGCGCUACUGAAGCUCGCAAAUGCAACAGCUGUCACCCCACCAGCAUUAACUUGAAAAUGCAACAGCCCUUGUGGGAACACCAUAAGAUCACCCUUCUGUAAAGUCUUGACAUAAACAGUGUUAGCCGAUGAGAUAAACCCAGCCUUGAUGAACCCUUGGGUCACCAGUAAAAGCUCGGACCCACCUGGGUGGGUGUGCAUUGGGACCACACCACCCGGGGCUAAGUCCAACCGGGCAAUGGAGAUCCCGAGCCCGUUGACUCCGGGCAGCUGGGCAGCGAAUGCUGGAGUGACAGCGGCUUUGAUGAUGUUGGAAAGGUUUCCUGAAGCACGAAGGCCUGUGGAUACAAAGUCAUCAACUGUGACUACUGUGGCUGGUUUGCAGGCAUAUCCAGCGGGGCUUUCUGGGAAUUUUACGUCUGCGACACAGAAGUCUUGGACUGCUGCGUGAGUGGUGAAGGUGAAGAGAGAAAGGAGUAAGAGAAUGUGGAUCAUUUUUACUUUGGAUUUGUGAUGUGGGAUUUGAAUGAAGGAUUGAUGAGUGUUGUGGGAUGUUUAGGUGGUGUUUAUAUACAGGGUGGAUGUGGUUUUGGUGUAAUAUGAAGAGAUAGCCAUGCAAAGGAACUGCAACCAUAGGAUUUGAUCUUCUGAAAAAAGUGGAAAAGAAAGCUGGAGUGGUAGUGACAUCCAUGUUACUAGCUAUAGACGUCGAUACAACAGAUAAGACCUUUUAGGUGAAGAAAGUUAUUACAAAAAGCGAAAAUUGGCUCUGAAUUUCCAAUCAUUGGUAAUUCCUUUUUUUAUAAUCUUUCUAUACUUGUUAAUUUUUUUGGCAUAUUAUUUUCCACUAAUUUUAUUUCACAAAAACAUAUUUUCACAAACUUUUUCAAUGAUAACCGUUUCAAAAAACAAUUCAAAAUUAAUUCCUAUGUUAUAUAAAGACCCUCGUAUAUAUAGUUUGUUGUUUUUAAGUAUGUGUUGCAUUUUCGGAAAAUAACAUUUGACAUUAAGACGGGAGAGAGUGGCUCGCUAAAGGCGCCAAGUCUACUCCGUAAGAUAUGCUAAGAAACUUCCCGGAUAAGGCUCCUUGUUAGCAAGAGAAAAAAGAAAGAGGCAAAGAGAAUAAUGGCUUGUAAUUGAUAUUUUUUCUUUUGUUAUUUUAAAUUAGUUCUUUUGAUUGGUUCUUUUCAUUUGACUUUUUUUUUUUUUCUAAAAUCCAAGUGUAAUAUUUUUUUUAUGAUAAAAGCUUAGAUGGAAGGUAAAUAUGUGAUGUGACAAUGUACUUAGCAUGUGGCAAGUAUGUUACCAUUCCAUAUAGUUUAAUCUUCAAUAUCUUCUCUAGUAAAUAGAAAUAAUUUUGUCGAUUGUCAUCUUCUAAUGCAUUAUGUCACAUGAUUUUUUCUUAUUAUUUUUAUUUUUUUUUCAUAUGUCAUUUUAUGUUUUUUUUUUCAUUUUAUUAAAUGAGAAAUUGUCAGAAAAUACUCAAUAUUUUCGAAAAAAUUUCACUUUAGUCCCAAAUUUUAAUUUUUGAAUAGAAAAGUCUCGAUUAUUUGAUUUUGGCUCAAAUUAACAAAAAAUAUUUUUUUUUCUUUUAACAUUAAAUGACAUAUUAUCGUGUAAAAUCAAAUAAUCGAGACUUUUCUGUUCAAAAAGUAAAAUUUGGGUAUUGAGACUUUUCUGAUAAUUUCCCUUAUUAAAUUCCUCAUAAUAUUAAAUGUAAUAAUAAAUGAUAUAUCAAUUUCAUUAAUGGACUUUUCUUUUAAUUUCAAAAUUACAAAAUUAAAGUCUCAUUAGUUUUCUUUGUUUAUUUAUCUAAAUUCAAACUUUUGAAAUGUUUAGAAUUUCAUAUUUAGAUUUUCUUUUAAAUAAAUUCAUAUAAUACAUAGGUCUCACACCAAAUAAUAUUUGAAAGUUUUGUCAAUUACCUUUUAAUAUAAAUUUCAAUAAUAUUUAUUUAGUUAAAUAAAUUAACUAUAAAAAAAUAUAAAGUUUUAAUAUCGAAUACAGCUAUGGGUGUAAAAUGAAAUGUUAUUAAAUAUAAGGAGAGUUUUGUCAUUUAAAAAUCUCUGAUAAAAAAGCUAUCAAUUUCUUUUCUAAUUAUUAUUAUUAUUAUUUUAUUUAUUUAUUUAUUUAUUUUGGCAAAGAAGAUGAUGUGUAGUGAUCAUGAUCACAUUCAUGUCUAUUUAAAUUGUUUUUUAGGGACCAUGAUCAAAGUGCUUUUUAGCCAACUAGUUAAUGAUAUCCAUGCGAUUCACUCUGUGCGCAUGUCUUAGAGAUAUUUUAGGUGCAUUUCUUUGCUUAACCCUUGAACACGAAGGACGUAAGACUAUGUAACAAUCCUUGAUUAUUUUAUGCAUAUGAAUAUAUACACAUAGUUUGGAGUUUAAUUUCUUCUGAUUGUAUUGGCAAAACUGUAAUUAACUAGUUUUUUUAAAAGACUUUAUAAUGCCAUAGGUUUAAAAAAAAAUUUAUUGUUGGUUCAAGUGGAAAUUUGGUGAUUUAGGUAAUUCGGUUAUCAAAUUAAUAGUUAAAAGGGCUACGAUUGGAAGUGGUAUUUUUUGCGACCAAAGGGGAUAAUGAACGGAUGGCCACAAUCUUCUUCCAUAUUUAUAAGUCUUUGGCCAAAAGUCUCUUGCUAAAGCUAAAAGUUGCAAAAUGAGUGUCUUGAAGGUUAGGUAAUGCGUUAAAUGGUCUUCGGCGAAAAAUAAAUGAUUUUAAUACGAAAUGAGAGUCUAUCAAUUUUGUAAAUAAAAUAAAAGGAUAUUACUUAAUGGAGUAAUAUAUAUUUUUAUUUUGUUCUUAUUUGGUAACAUAAAUUUUUUUAUGCAUUUGAACAUUUAACUUAUUUCUUUUUACGUAUCUAAUUUUUAUAAUCGGGUACUCGGGGCUAAACCAGAAAAAUGACGUAAUAUGAUAAUAUAAUUUUCAGUUUGUAUAAAUUUAUUCUUUAAUAUUUUUGUACAUGUUUAGUCCUUAAGAUCGGUUUCUUCGGUUUUGUUCAUGACAUCCUACGUGGGACAAUCAUUAAUGAUGUGUUUUCAUAUGUGGCCCGUCCCUCACUUAUAUCAGUAACUGUUAAAACGUUGUCGUGUACAUCUUAAACAAAUAAAAAUCACUGUUUGGUUGUACUAAUGGGUAGCUCAGGGAAGCUUGGUCGAAUCCUUAAAGACACAACCUAAAAGCCAAUAUCUCUUUACGUACGACACAAUUAGUCAAAAACAUAAAAAUAUAAAAAGAGUUUUUUGCUGUGAAUUAAUAACUGAAAAUAGCAGUGAAAAUAACUUAAUAAAAUUCAAUAAUAAAAAGUGUUUUAGUUUUUUGUGAUUUUCCUAAUUAUGUAAUCAAUACAAAACUUGGUUAUUUAAUAUAUGUUCUAUCUAGAGUGGUACUGAAAACUACUAACAAGCUCUAGUUAGUUCUCUUUUACCUAGUUAAUUAACUAAAACAAGCUAUUCAAUUAAUCCUAACUUUUUACUAACCUAAUUAAACACACUUUUAAUAAUGUUAGGAAAGCAACAUUAUGAUAUGUGUAAAAUUCUCAGCAAUAUUUAAUACUUCUAACAAACUAUGGUGAUCAUUCAAAGGGAUAGGAUGAUCAUUCUCUGGUUCUUCUCCAAACCAUCCAGCAAUGACUUCGUUCGGAAGAUACGGAUUGCCGUGAGGAUGGAGUCCAGCCAUGUUAUCUACGCGAGAAUUGGGGUAAGAAAAUAAUUAUUAGACGAACUAUCUAGAUAAUUAUUUAGAAAAUCUUCAUUAGUUACAUCACUAUUUGUGAAGUGCAUACCAGUUAUAUGUAAUCGAAACAUGAUAGACCUUCGAAUAAGUGACCUUAACUCCAAAUUCACAAAGAAUAGGGGUAAAACAAAAUUUUCACAUAUUUUAAGUCUAUAACAUCCUAGUUACAUAUAGUCUUAGUGUUUCCACUUAGCAACUAUCAACUUAGUAAUGAAGAUCCCGUUUAGUUCUCAAGUAUGAAGUACUUAUAGUAACACCAAAUACCCCUAUAAUAUUUUUGGUUUAUGUUCUAUUGUUCUCAUUGUGGUAUUGUUGGUAAGAUUUUAGACUUGUUGCAACCACACAACUACACUUAGGCACAUGCUAUUCAGCCCUCGGAUAAUAUAGUUGAUCAGGCUAUAUCUUCCCAGUUUUGACUAUAUGUCUCUAAGUCUACUUGUGCUGCCCAACAAUCGUAAUUCUUUUGUAUUGUCCUAGUGACACUAAUUUUAGAAUGAAUGCAGGCACGUAUACUUAAUUAAAUAUUUUACUAUUUAAAGUAUAAACUCUUGGUCAGAGUAUUUUAAUCCCAUUGUAUUUAUAGUCUGUAUAUCUUUUAUGGGUUGAUAUACUUAAUUCACUAUAAACAAUGCUCUGAUACCAAUCUGUCACACCCCAAAACCAUGAACGGCGGAAACGUUCUGGGGCGGAGGACGUCAUGUACAGUAUCACAACAAUGAAUAGUAGUAAACAAGCAACAACAUCAUCCAUUGCAUUAAUAAUAUAAUUUUAAUACAAGUGUUCUGAUAUGUCUAAUAGACACUAAAGUAUAAAUCAAAAUGAAAGAUGAGUCUUGAACGAGCUCCAUCUUCUCUAAACCUUGCAUCGGUACCUGUCUACUGUUGACCUGAGGAUACAAGUUAUUUUGAAAGAGAGUAUCAGCUUUAAAGCUGGUGAGAUCAUAAGUAUUUUAGUGUCUUAAUUUGUAUGUAAGUAUUUGUACGUAUAUGAAAUGUAAGUAUUUGUAUGUAUAUGAACUGUAAGUAUUUGUAUGUAUAUGAACUGUAAGUAUUUGUAUGUAUAUGAACUGUAAGUAUUUGUAUGUAUAUGAACUGUAAGUAUUUGUAUGUAUAUGAACUGUAAGUAUUUGUAUGUAUAUGAACUGUAAGUAUUUGUAUGUAUAUGAACUGUAAGUAUUUGUAUGUAUAUGAACUGUAAGUAUUUGUAUGUAUAUGAACUGUAAGUAUUUGUAUGUAUAUGAACUGUAAGUAUUUGUAUGUAUAUGAACUGUAAGUAUUUGUAUGUAUAUGAACUGUAAGUAUUUGUAUGUAUAUGAACUGUAAGUAUUUGUAUGUAUAUGAACUGUAAGUAUUUGUAUGUAUAUGAACUGUAAGUAUUUGUAUGUAUAUGAACUGUAAGUAUUUGUAUGUAUAUGAACUGUAAGUAUUUGUAUGUAUAUGAACUGUAAGUAUUUGUAUGUAUAUGAACUGUAAGUAUUUGUAUGUAUAUGAACUGUAAGUAUUUGUAUGUAUAUGAACUGUAAGUAUUUGUAUGUAUAUGAACUGUAAGUAUUUGUAUGUAUAUGAACUGUAAGUAUUUGUAUGUAUAUGAACUGUAAGUAUGAAAACGUUUUGAACAUCCUAGAAAACCAUAUGUUUCCUACUAAAAGUAUCCUUCUACCAAGGCAUCUAGUAUCUGUGUGUGUGUCUCUUGUAAGAGUGUGUAUUUUCCCAAUUCUGACUAUCAUUAACCAAAAAUAUAGCUUCUACAUUGGCGUGCAUCGUGUGAAUGUUCACGAAGUGAAUGUAAUGGGAAAACGAAAUAGUACUAUGGUGUAGUAUCAAAUAACUACAAUCGUACUAACUACCUUAAAUCUAUUGUAAUUUAAAUUAACAUGUGAUUGGCCUGUAUCCUGCUACCGACUCUAGUAAAACGACGAUGUAAGACGCCGUAAGAAAUGACAUUUGGCACUCGUAGACUUGCAAGUCCCACUGUAGCGAGCAGCAAGGUGUAGGAUAGUCAAUCCAGUAUAGAUCUAUACGCAAACUCAUACGCUCCCCAAUUGAGGAGAUUCGGGAUACAAGAGUGGUCAUGGCAGGAAGUGCCAUGACCCGCUCAAUGGUUCACAUAACUGCAUGAAUUUAUAUGCAAUGAAUGUCCUAGCUGAAAGUGUAAUCUUUCCCUGUCUAGCCUGUAUGUACUGAAAUGUUCUCUCUAUCUAGCUGUAAUGUGUGUUCUCUCUAUCUAGCAUGUAUAGUAAUGUACGGUGUGUGCUAGCUGUAAUGUGUGUUCUCUCUAUCUAGCAUGUAUAGUAAUGUACGGUGUGUACUAGCUGUAAUGUGUGUUCUCACUAUCUAGCAUGUAUAGUAAUGUAUUGUAAUGUUCUGCGUGUGCUAGCUGUAAUGUGUGUUCUCUCUAUCUAGCAUGUAUAGUAAUGUACCGUAUAUACUACUCGUACUGACUCAUGAAUGAGCUGACUCAUUGUAUGUUUUAUUGUUCUAGUAAUAGUAUUAGUAUCUUCCUAUGCUACCCAUAUGGUAGCUUACUAGUAAUGUAAGUGGUACGUAUGAACAUGGAAGUAUACCCUUGCUACCCAAGGGCAUUGAACUGACUGGAAGAACCUUUAUGACUAUAUAUGUAUACAUAAUAUAUAACUAAUAUUUAGACGACCUUCGUACGGAUAAUCGAUGCCCUAACGCCACAUCCCAACGAGGAAAAGGAGGUAAAGCGAGCUAACCUUCCUAAGUCCUUUAAACAUUACUUAUGUAACUAUACAUAUCUAGGCAUGCAAUUGACAAUAUAAAAGCAUAAAAGAAAUUUUGUAAAACCAUUGAAAAGUUUAGUAUCUAAGAAAGGAUGACUUGAUGUCAAAUUGUAAAACGAUUUGAAAGCAGUUUGUUUGAUAAGAACAAUGUAAAGUAUAAGGAAAACAUUUGUUUUGAAUCAUGAAUGUAACAGGGUUUGAAAAGAUACACUCAGUAUGCAAGACAGUUUAACAAAUAGUUUUAAUUGAGUAAAAAUGUUUUGGAAAGCCAUUUGAAGUAAAUUGUUUGGUAAAACAGCUAUAAGAGUAGUAAAUCCUUUUGUAUGCUACUUAUUAAUCACUUGUGAUUAAUAUAAUAACUAGCAUGAUUCAACUUGUAUCCCCCGCCCAUAAAGCAUUUUAAAACAUUUAAAUCAUUGAUUAAGGGGUAUGAACUCACCUGUAGCAAGUGGUUGGGAUGAACUGACUGAAAUAGGAUGAUAGGUGUCAAGUGAAGACUUGUACACCCUCUAUGAUCCUAGAUAACAUAUAAUAUCACAUAUAUGUAACCAAUUAGCCUUUAAACAACUAAUAAACAAAGCUAAGACACCCUAGGACAUGCUAAACACUUUAUAUAAAUGUUAUAGGUCCUAAGGAUUGCAUCUAAGUGUUGUAGGGAAAGGCUAGUGUGUUUGGGGUUCAAGGAAAACUCCAUUUGGGAGUUUACGGUUUUGUGGUCACUAACAAAAGGGUUUACGGUCGUAAGCCCACACACUUGUUGACCAUUUGAUGUUUGAAGCCUUAAGAGUCCCUAGAAGCUUUUCUACUUGAUGUAUGUGACCAUGGAAGUUACUAGGGCACCAUUUCACUCCUAAAUGGAGUUUACGGUCCCUAAACCAUUUUCCUUUGGGUUUAAUACCGUAAACCCAUAAGGUUUAUGGUAUUUGGGGGUUUUCAAGUCCUUAGCUCAUCAAGGUAAUUGUCUAGGUUAGAUUCUAGGCAUAAGGAAUAAAUAUGGGACAUUUAUACACUCUUUGGGGUGUUUACAGUUUUGGGAGAUCCCCAAAUCAUAAACACAUAUAAAUGAGUGCUUUUUGUGCUUUUUUUGUGAUAAACUCAUCAAGGAAGGAUCUAGACAAGUCCCUAAGGCAUUGUGAAGCACCUAGGCACCCUUUUGCACCAUAACUUGGUGUUUACGGUUCAAGAACUUCUUGAACCGUGAACACCUUGUUCUUGGUGUUCUAGGGACAUUUCCUUGAUAUUAAAAUGUAUAGCAAGCUUUAAAAGACUCUAGGAUAGAAGUACUUACUAUGUGGAAGCUUGAAAGGAGCUAAAAGUCCAAGAACACUAGUGUGUGUUCUUGGUGUUCUUGGUGAAAAUGAAAAAUCAAUCUUUUGGAAUGAUUUCACGAUUAGAAAUGUGUUAAAACACUAGAUUAAGUCAUUUAAUAACUUAAGAAGGCUAGAAACACUUACUAGAUUGAAGACCUUGAAAACUUUUGGAUGAUACUUGAGAGAGAAAAGGGUUUGGAUCUUGAGAUUUUUGGAAAAAGUGUAAAUAAUGACUAACACUCAUAUAUAUACUCCCAAAUUUAGGGUUUUGGCAGAAAAUAUUUUAUUCGGGCAGUAAACUCUAAUUUCUUAGAGUUUUGGAAUAACAGUGUUGCACAAUAAUCCUAGGGCAUCCUCUCUCCAGAUAUCACCUGAAGUGUAAAUCCUAAAAUACUCAAACUUGUUCCGAAAAGUUUGAAAUUUAGCAGCAACUUUUCUGGUUUCUAUUGCAUUGAAGGGUUGCAAAGAAUAGAAAUUUCGGGUUGUCACACAUAAACACCACCAUGCAUCAAUAUAUUACAACUGGAAUUGUUCACAUCAAGUACAUUGUUUAAACAUUACAUAUCCAUACAUAAAUUGUUUGAUAGAUAUCAUAAGCAAAACACCCUAACAUACUUGGUACUUAUUCCUUGACUUACCUGUUACCUGAGAAUACAAGUUAUUUUGAAAAAAGGUCAACAUAUGAAAUGUUGGUGAGUUCAUAAGUAUGUUGUAUUAAAAUGAUUUGCAUAAUUUGUAAAACCCAGCAAAUCCGAUAUUUUCUGAAAAGACCAUUGUUUAAAAAAAAGGUGUGAAGAUCCAUACCAUAUGCAUGAUGAUUUCAAAACAUGUACAAUUGAAGAACUUUAGUAUUUAUCGUACAAGUGAAAAUGUUGAACUUCCUCGGGAAACCCAAUGUUUUCCAAAUACAUAAAAUACAGUGAUUUCUCAAAUUGUUAUACCGCCACAAUGAAUGAGUUUGAUUACUCGGGUGGUGUUGGAUUAAUUAAGGUUUGUGAGUUGUUAUAAUAAUGCAUUAGUAAUGACUAGUUUAUAACUACAGUUUACGAACGAUCCUUAGAGGCGUCGUCCGUUAUAACUCACUUAAUCCAACCACCUUGAUUACUCUCGAUUAUCGCCCUGAAUCUGUUUACGUUGAUUACUCAUAAGCCUAGCAAACGAGGAAAAGAGGAGUAUAAGUCCUGCUACUUCCGUGAGUUUACUUUAGGCCGUCGGGGAUGCGAAAGACUCGUUGGUCCAUCUCGCAUUUGAUUACUUUGACCUUACUGGCAAUACUAUUGGAUCACUAGGGCCCAAAAGCACUUGAGAGCCAUUGAAGGUCCCUUUAUAUGGAAUUGGGCCAUAGAAGGCCCAAUAACAUAUAAACAUUAUCCCUUGGGCCCAAAGAUCAUGUUAAUGGACUUGCAAGGUCCAACAAGCAUGAUUUGAAACUUUCAAGCCCAAGUGUCGAAUGUUUACUUGUCUUAGGUAUCGCUUAUCUAUUGGAGGGUUCGAUUUAACGGUUGUUGUUUUUGUAUCGAUUCAAGACCAAUCGAUUUGUUUAUAACGAUAUUUGGAGUUAAACGUGUAUUCGUCUUUUAAUUUUUCAUAAGUAAUGGUUUUGUAUUUGACUUAAUGAAAUAAUUUGCUUAAAACAGUGGUUUGACCUUUUCAACACCUUCCUUUUUAUAAAAAUGACAGUUUUAGUCCUUUAUAUAAAAGAAAAGACAUUUUUAGCCCUUAAAAUAUUUUCUUGACACUUUUGCAUCAUAGAUUUGUUGAAAUGAUAGUUUUAACUCAAAACUUAUUUUUUUUAACAGUUUCACCCCUUUCAGAAUAGUAUUUUUCGAUUUAAUACCCAACUUUCCACAAUUUUUACAGUUUUGGCCCAAAAUCCAAAAACUUUACAUUUUUUUUUAUCCUUUUUGGAAAUGAAAAGCAUUUUUGACCCUUGAAAUAGUUUUGUUACACUUUUUAUCCCUUGAUUUGAAGAAAGUUUCAUUUCAGCCCCUUUAAUUGUCAUUUUUCGCAAUUUUGGGCUUAUUGGGCCGAAAAGCCCAAAAUUAGCCCAUUAAGCUAAAAAUUUACAUUUCAAGUCCUUUGAAAAUUUUAAUAUUCAGAAAAACAAUUAUUAAAACUGUUUUGACUCUUUUGACCCUUAAGAAACCGUGAUUUGGCAACUUUUAACCCAAAUUUUUGUAUAUUUGACAAUUUAAGCCCAAAAAUGGGUUUUAUGUUGAAGUAUGUUUAACACAAUCUUAUAAGUUAUUAUUCUUGACUUUUUUGGUGUAAAAUAACUUAGAUCAUGUUUGUUUACUUUCUCAUGUCAUAGAUCUCGAGUUAACACCCCUUUUUAGUUACAUGUUCAUCACAAAAACACAUAAAAUCAUACAUACAUGCAUAAAAUCACACAUAGCAUACACAUACACAUAGAUCUACACAUUUUCUUGUAUUCUCCCCCAUAAAACAUAUGAAAAUCGAAAAGAUAGGGGUAUGAAGCUCACCUUAAGUUGUGGUUUCGGUUUUUGAAGGAAGAGAUGAAGAAAGUUUCGAUCCUAGCAAGUCUUCUUGGAGGAUCUCGAACUUAGAUGUUUAUAAGAGGGUGAUCAUGAGUUUGAAUAGAUUAGGAAGAGAUUUUUGAUAAGCAAAAGAAUCAAGAUCAUAUAUCCAAGAAAUAACUUACCUUAGAUGAUGAAUUUGUGGAAUAAUCUCCUUGGAAAGCUUCCUAAAUCUCGAAAAUUUGGUGAAGAGUGAACAGAGUUUCUUUGAGAGUGUUUGAGUAAAACGUGUGUGUGUGUGUUUGUGUUGGUUUCGGCCAAGAGAAAAAGAGAGAGGAGGGAAGAGAUACUUUUGAGUUGACAUGCAUGAAAACAUGAGAUUUUUGCAUGGGGUUCCAAUGGUUAAAUGUGAGGUGGCAACUUAAAGUCAACUCCUUCUCUUUUGGGUUGUUGGGCCGAGAAAAAAAGAGGGGAAAGAAGGAUUUGGGCCCUUAAAUGCUCAAGCCCAAAUUGUAAACUCAUUAGGUGAUUUUUGGUCCAAUUAAAUCAAAGGAUGAUUUUUAUGAUCCAUUAGGGCUAAUUAGAUUUGUUAUGGCCCAAUAAGGCCCAUUUAAGAUAAACUAGUUCAUUUUAGGCUUGUAAGGCCCAAAAUAUUAAGUUUCAUGUAUAGGGGUCCAAUUAGAGCCCAUUUAAGAGUUCUAAAACCCAAAAAAAUCAAAUUGGAAACUUAUUGGUCAAUUAGGCCCAAUAAGGAAAUCCUAGUCCAAAAUGGACUUAAAUCGGGAUUCUUAGGGUUUCCAACGUUUUGUUGACUAUUUUAUGCGCUCUUAUAAAGUGUCUGAUGGAAGUUUUGUUGUUAUUAAAUAAGCAUCAUACAUGCUUUCACAUUGUUGGUUCACAUUUGUUAUCAUUGUUCAAUGUUUACAAGGCACCAAAUUCCUAGCUGUGACAACUUAGGAAGCAUGACCCGUGUUUGGAGAUGGGUGGAAUCCAUGUGUAGUUAAAUGAAGUACAUUACCCAAAAGGACGUUUUUUAGAGUCACAGGCAUGAAGCACGGAGUGUGCUCGGGCUUCCAGGUCGUGCUCUUCAGGCGCAAAGUAAUAAUCCUAGAAAUCUUGUAAAAUCAGAAAUAAAAUGUCACCGGGGAGUAAGCAGGGCUCGUGCUUGGGCUAUGAAACUUUAAAUAUCAAAAAUAAUGCACUGGUUGGGAUCAGGAAGCAGGCACGGACCGUGCUUGGGAAGCAUGACCCGUGAUUCAGGACCAAAGUUUUAAAAGGCCUAAAAAUCAGAAAUCUUUUGGUUAUGUUCUGUAAGUGGAGAACAGCCCAUGUUUGGUAAGGCAUGGCCCGAUCUUGGUAUUUUUUUUAGAGUUUUGAAUCCAUAUAUGCUCGAAAUAUGCAUCCAAGUUGCUUCCAAAUCACUGUUCCACUCGAAAUAUCUAAAAAUGACAUAAAAAUAUGAGCGGUACGAGAAUUUUCUAGCGAAAAACAUGAGUUGAAAUUUAUUUAAACUAACAAACAUGAAAAAGCAUAAAAUAUGAUGCAAAACACUAAUAAAAACUAAUAUAAAAGAUGCAUAAAAUGGCAUCUAACAAUAACUUAAUUCACAAAUUGGUCAAAUAAUGUUGGUGCCCUAGUUUUCUCCAAGUAGAAGAUGUUUUCAGCUUCAGGUGCAUCUAUCUCUAUAUCAUACAACAAGGUUCUUUGUUAUUGUUUCUUCCCAACUCGAAGAUAUUUUCUCCAAGUAGAAGAUGUUUUUAGCUUCGGUUGCAUGAAAGACUCUAAACUUUUUUCCAGGUUGUUCUUUUGUCAUGGAAGUGCAAAAUCGAGUUGGGAUGAAGUAAACACAAAGAAUCUUGUUGUCUACAAUGGAGAUAGAUGAAACCAAAUUUGAAUACAUAUUCUGUUUGGAGAAAACUAGGAAACUAACAAUAUUUGACUAAUUCAGGAAUUAGGUUACUGAUAUAAGUGAGUGAUAAGCCACGUAUGAGAACACCUCCUUAAUGAUUCCCCAUCAUAGGAUGACAUGAGCAAAACCUGAAGAAAUAGGUUAUUGAUACAUGAAGUGACCCUCGACAGCUAAGAUUAUUUUGGGGGUUUUCAAAGUUCUUUUGGAGUAAUGAUGCGAAGAGUUUUUGGAUGGGUGACGAGAUGAAAUUCGCUUUUGAGUUAUUGCAAAGAAUUGAUACACUAAAGAUGAUAUGCAAAGACUAGAGUUAAGGAGCUUAUCCAAAGAGUUGAAGUACAGUGUUUGAUGAUGUUUUUCUAAGGUACAGUGUUUGAUGAUGUUUUUCAAUCAAUACACAAUCAAUACAAAAAUAUUUUAUUUAGAUUGUUGUUUGUUCUCUAUAUCUUUUGUAUUACACAAUCAAUACAAAAAUAUUUUCUGUAGAUUGUUGUUUGUUUGUUUUUUUGGUUUUCUAGUUAUUUAAAUCUUAGGUUUUUUAUGUAAAUUUUAUUUUAAUUAAUAUAGUGGUUUUUAUUUUUAAUUAAUUUUAUGUUUAUUACUCAUCUAAAAAAAUUAUAAAUCAUAAAAAUCAAUUAUUUUUAUUAAAAAAAAAAUGAAGGAAGCUUCCCACACACACUUUGACUUUUGGUGAAGAAAAAAAAAGUAAAAGAAAUGAUGACGUCGCAGACAAAAGAUGAGGGAAACUUCCCGUACCACCUCUAGACUUAUAAGAAAAGGAGGAAGCAAAAUAUGAUGCCUACCACCCUAAAUUUUCUGAUUUUACAAAUGAUAAGGAAAAAAAACUAACAUCUUAAUGCGUUUUGUGGUCCAUGAGAGCACAUGGUAACGGAAUUAAGAAAUGCACAAAACAACAUAGCGAGACAGCUAUCCGAUUCUAGUAUUCUUAUUUUGUCCAUUUCCUCAAACGUUGAAUUACAAUUUACAAACCAUUCUCUAUAAAUAAUGUAUGGCAAUAACUAGUUCUCCUUUGGGUAAGGUGCAUUCUGAUUGGCUAAAGCAAAAUAUAAAUGUGGCCCAUUUUAUCAUUUUCCACAAGGGGCUUUAUUGAUUAUAUUUUAAAGAUUCCUAGGUUUUUAUAAUUGUGAAUUUACAGAGCAUAUACACAAAAAACCACAUUUGGAUAUUGAUGUUUGGGACCUCGGAGUUUUCAAAUAUAAAAUGGGUACAAAUUACAUCGUUAUUCUUCAUAGUGGUGAUUCUUUGUUUGUAAGUUUGUGGUAUCAAAAGCUCGAGUACACAUGAUUUUAGAUUUCUCAUAAAAAAAUUAUUCUUUAUUAACUGAGUUUAAAAAUGCAUCUAAUGUCAUAUAAAUACUUCUUUAAUAAAAAAAUUUGAGUUGAAGAAAAGUUUAAAAUUUAUUCACAUAUGAAUUUACCAAAUAAGACCAUAACUGUGACACCCAAUUGAAUUAAAUAGGAUUAAACAUGAAUUUAUGUGUAACGAGUACAAGUGAACAUAACACAUAGUAUAGGGCCUGUAAUGUAAAUAAUGGGGAGUUUUUGUGUUUGGCCAAGGGUAAACCGUUACUCAAGCUUUUGAGUUAUGUUUCCUUUACCGAUUAGGACUUGAUUUGAAGAUUGUUCCUUAAAUUGAUUCAUAUAAUAAAUCGAUAUUUAUAAAUCAAUCAAGUUUAUCCCAAAAGCAAUUUGCAUAAUAAUGUUAGAUAAUUAUGGGACCACAUCAUAUAUAUGUAACUAGUUUAUAAUCCGUGGGAACCACGGUUAGAAAAUUAAUUAAACUUUCUAAGUAAAAAUUUAAAAUUAUGAAUUAAUAAUUUUAAAUAACUUAUUAAUUAAAAGAUAUUUUUUUAGUUAUAUAUAUAUAUAUANUAUAUAUAAUCGUUGAUUCAAAUAAAUACGUAAAAUAUAUCAUAUUAUAAUUUGUAUAAAUUUUAUUUAUUUUUAUUCUAAUAUUAUUAAUUUAAUGUAAUUAAAAUGUGAUUUAAAUUUUGAAAUUUGAAAUUUGAAAUGGAGAAUUAAUAGAUUGAUAAAUGCCAUGAUAUUAAUUACAAGUGCCAAUAGAUUGACAAGUGUCAUAAUAUUUAUUACAAUGGCUAACAUGGUGACACAUGGCAAAAGAACUACUCUUUUAUUAGUAUAGGGAGAAGGGAGAUGUUAUCAUUAAAUCAAGUUAUUAUUAUAAGACUAUAAAUUGUUGAUGGACCGAUUUAUAGAUAUUUAUUUACCUUGUGAGUUAAGUUCCCGAUUUGACUUAAAAUCCUCAAGAUCCAUUCCAUCUCUCACAUUAUGGUUUAUCUCCAUCUAUAAAUAUAUGUGAUGAGGAGCAGAUCGACACACACGAAAAUACACAUGAAAAUUCGUUUAAGGUUUGAUGAGGGAUUUUAGAAAGAACUCUUGUGAUCAACUGGAAAACUCAACCUAGUUUUUCAAAUUCGAAGAUUAUAAUGAAAUCAGGUAUCUAAUCGUUCUUUCUUGAUUAAGCUUUCUUGUAAUCAAAUUCGAGCUUAAGAUCCUUAUGCUUCCGCGUUUAUGUUUUAGUUAUCAAAACAUCCAACAAUUGGUAUCAGAGCCUACUCGAAUCUAAUAUCAGAAAUUUAAGUUUAGGUUGAUUAAGAUAUGUGUGAAUAUUUUAAAUUAAGCAUAUCCGUGUAAAUUGAUCUUCAACAAGAGAAACGGGUUAUGUCAACCGUAUAUUUUCUUUGUUUGGGUUUUAUUUAUUAAAAAAAUGCUUAUCACAUUUUUGCAAACCCUCAUGAUUUUUGUCGCUUUCAAUAAUUAAUAGUAUGGCUUCAUUCCUUUUAUUUUAGGAAUUAAAUAUGGAUAUAAUAAGUCAUAUAAGUUCCAUUUAAAUUGUGUAAAGUCUGUCUUUUCUGACAUCAUUUAUUAAUUUCUUUAUAAGAAUUUAAUAAAAUAGUCGUAUCUUUUAUUUUGUAUUUAAAAGUUGUGUUUGUAUAUUUGUCGGUUUAUUUUUUUAAGCUAUAAUGACACUGUAUGUACAAGUAUAAUUAUUUUAUUUAGUUGUGAAAUUUGAAUAAGGUAUGAAAUCCAUUUUUUUUAUCAUUUUAUGUAUCAAGAGGAUUUCAUAAUGAUCAAUUUUUAGCAAAUACAAUUAUAUGGGAAUAUUAUUAUGAUAGAUUUUGAUUUGAUUUUAUUGUUGUUGUCUUUUCCGAACAUAGUUGACAUCAUUAUCUUCAUAAUCUAAUUGGCCUAAAAUAUUGUGGGGCAUUUAAGGAAAUUAUUAGAUAACAUCUUUUGUUAUAUAUCAAUUUGACACCAUUUCAUGUAUGGUUGUCUUUUAUUUAUGGUUAUCAAUAAAUUCGGUUAUGCUAUUAUUUAUUUUCUUGGAAAAUUUAGUGACAUUAUAUAUCGCCAAAGUGAUCCCUUUUUUGUAAAUAUUAAUUUUCUAAGAAUCUAAAUAUUAUGGUUUAUAUGUUUAUUAAUGCGAAUAUUAAUCGAUCCAAAUGUAGGUUAAUAUUUGGCCGGAUAAAUACAUGUUCAAUGAUAAAUAUGCGACAAUUUUUAGGUUACAUGUCAUUAAUAAGUCAAUCCAAAGAGGGCUUAUUAAUUGAUAUGAUAUAUUGUCAAUUCUUAUUAUCAAAAUUUAUAGUUUAUGUGUUUAUUAAUGCGGGUAUUAGCCGACCCAAAGGUAGACUGCUAUUUGGCCGAAUAAACAUAUAUGUGGUGAUAAAAAUGCGGUGAUUUGUUUUUUUGGUUCCAUAUGAUUAAUAAGUCAAUCCAAAGAGGGGCUUGUUAAUUGACAUGAUUUAUUGUCAAUGUUUAUCUCUAAAACAAGGAUAUAUCUUGCAAGUUAGUAUUACUUAUUAAUGUUGUGUUGAUACCUUGUAAAGAUGUCAUAAAUUGAAUUUAUUGAUUACAAUUUAUGGAUUAAUAAGCAUAAAAAUAGAUUUGUUUAUGUUUGAAUAAUGGUAUUAUAUCUGCUAACAUUGAUCACAUUUAUGAUUUAUGUACUCAAUGAAAUUAAUUUUAAAGAAUAGAAUAAGGGCAUUAUGUUAGUUCUCAAUUGCAUGGAUAUUGACUUUAUAUUUUGGAUAGAGCAACAAUCUUUGAGGAUGUUGAGUUUGGGGGAGAAACAAGGUUAAAACAUUGUCCUUAAGGAGGAAUCAAUCUUGAUUCCUAUUAUUGCUUUUGAUAGUAUGCAGAUUAUGAAUCAGUAAUCGAUAAUGUUAUUCGAUCUCCUAUUCAAAAUACACAAACUCAUCAGCCUCAAAUUUGGAUAUCCUAUGUGUGGUACCACAUUUUUCAUCAACUUAUUAUCUCUUUUGGUUUUGAGGUAAAUACAAUAGUUGAUUUUGUGUAUCACAGAUUAAGUAAAAGUAAAUUUAUCUUUCUGGUUUUGGGCAGCUAUCUACGAAAUUCAAGUUUAGAUCAUAAGAAAGCAACCAAAUGGAUUUUGAGAUAUCUAUAUAUAACAAAAGGCUAUGUGAUCAACUAUAGGAAAUUCAGAUGUUUUGGAGAUCAUUUUUAUUAAGGAAGUGAUUUUAUUAGAUGCCAAAAUAGUUAUUGAUCCAUAUCAGGAUACUUUUACAUAUUAGCAUGAUGCGUCAUUUCAUGGAAUAGACUUCGGUAACUUUUUCCAUAAUGGCAGAAUAAUUUGUAGCAUGGAAUAUGGUUGUGGAAAUUUGUUACGAGGCUAAACAUUAUUGGUAUUAAAAGACUACUAAAGUUUUGAUAAUAAGUCAACAAUGUUAUAUUCCAACAACAGAAGUUCUAUUAAGUCAAAUCAUAUUGACAUAAAGUUUUCUUUUGUUCAUACAAUAGUGCAAAAUGGAAAUAUAUAUAGCACAUAUGAACAAACUCCAUGAAAGCGGAUCCUCUCAUAAAGGGAUUACCUCCCUAGGUCUUUCAUGAGCAUACUACACACGUUGGUGUGAUAUUUGGUUUUAUUGGGUGUUUUUAUGGUGCUUUAUGUCUUGUUUAAGAACAAGUAUGUUUUUCUGUACAUAAUUAAGAAUUCAGUUAUCUCCAUUAUUAGUUGCACUUAUUUGAAGUUUGAUCUCACUUCAAUCUAAAGAGGAACUCGUUGGAAAUCUAUUUAGAUUUCAAAAUCACACAUCAUGUUUAAUCUAUGUCGUUAGUUAUAUAUGUAUAUGUGAUCAUUGAUAGGUUUAGUUACCUAAAUUGUAACGAAGACCGCUUUGAUCCUAUACUAUUAUCAGGGCCGGCCCUUGGCAAGCUCACAAGGUGCAUAAGAACAGGGCCCCAAAAAGUCGGAGGGCCCAAUUUUUUUAGCAGCUAUGUUACCUAUGUUCAACCCAAAACAAAAAAUUAGGUUUAUAUUCUAUUUGCCGGCAUUUAUCAGUCCACGCAAGGAGCGGGAAAAAGCAAGAAAUUUCGGGAAACCCAAAAGAACGCUUCGGUUUCUUCAUCAGAUCUUUGCUUAGGCAUGUGGCAAGAAUUAAAUCUGCAAUGGUAUUGUUUGAUUCAUAUCAGUGAUUUUGGAGGGCAAUGAGGCAAUCAACAAUCUUCCUUCUUUCUUUUUUUCUUCACGAAAUUUUGAAACAAACUUACAACCUGUCUCAAAAAUCAGAAAAUCGUUCUUCACUUAUUUCUUUUCGAAAAUCAGAUCUUAUGCUUUGUGCCCUGUUACGAUUUUCAUUUAUAAUUUCUGGCUUUUUAUGUGUUCAUUGUAUGUUAUUAUGAUUUUGUUUCUAAUUUCUGGCUUUUCUUUUCUAAUUUUUGGCUCUUUAUUUAUCAUUUGUAUAUUGUUAUGAAUUCGUGUCUGAUUUAUGGAUAUCUUUUUUGAUAUCUUGUUUUUCUCAUCUGAUUUCUAACUUUUUAAUUAUGUUUAAGUAGUUACAUAAGCGAAUUUGAAGAUAAGUGUCAUGUUUUGAUUUUAUUUUAUUGGAUUAUAUCUUGUUCUUAUUUUUGGAUUUUUCUCUUGUUUUGUUUUGUGGCAUUUUAGUUAUGAAGAGGGAAAAGCUUCGAUAAGACACACUCACCUGAUGCCUUAGAUGUGGCUCCACAUGUAUUUCAACAUUUUAUUACAUUUUUAAUCUAUUGCAUUUUAGCAGUUGUUAUUCAGUUGUAUACCUAACGUUUUACAUAUUUGGUUACAUUAUUUAAGGAUGUUGAGGUCGAAGUUCCUUGAAGCAUGAUAUUGUUGAAGUUCUAAUUUGUACAAGAUAUUGGUUGUUUAAAGUUAAAUCUAUUUGUGUUCAUUUACUUGCUGAACAUUAGAAUAUAGUGUAUUAAUUUAUUUUGUAAGGAUGACAUUAUGAUUGUUGUUUUUUAUAUGAGGACAUUAUGUUUGUUGUUUUAUGUAUUUGCAAUAGAAAAUUAAAAUUUAUAAUUGUUUUGCUUAAAUUUUGAAAUAUUUCAAAUUUUAGGGCCUAUUUUUUUUGUUAUCGCACAAGGCCUUCAAAAUCUCAGGGCCGGCCCUGACUAUUAUGAUUAGUGGACGAAAUUCUUUAAAGGUACCAAUAUUAUGAUAACAUUCAUUAGAGCGCUUAAACAGUUAUACGUACAUUUAUAUAUUCGUGGUCUAGUGGGAGAUUGUUAGAUAAUUAUNAUAUAUGUGAUGUUAUCAUUAAAUCAAGUUAUUAUGGUAAGAGUAUAAAUUGUUGAUGGACCGAUUUAUAGAAUAUUCACUUAACUUGUGGGUCGAGUUCUCGAUUUGACUCAAGAUCCUCAAGAUCCCUUCCAUCUCUCACAUUAGGGUUUAUCUCCAUCUAUAAAUACAUGUGAUGAGGAGCAGAUCGACACACACAAAAAUACACAUGAAAAUUCGUUUAAGGAUUGCUGAGGGAUUUUAGAGAGAGCUCUUGAGAUCAACUGGAAAACCCAAACCUAGUUCUUCAUAUUCGAAGAUUAUAAUGAAAUCAAGUAUCUAAUCGUUCUUUCUUGAUUAAGCUUUCUUGUAAUCAGAUUCGAGCUUAAGAACCUUAUGCUUCCGCGUUUAUGUUUUAGUUAUCAAAACAUCCAACAAAUAAGUCUUAGCUCAUUCCUUACAAAAAUAUUCAUAUUUGAGCUUUUAUGCUCAUUGAUAUAGUAAUCAUAGUUAACAUACAGGGAAAUAUUUAAUAGACAAAUUAAAUAUCAUUCUACUUUUUAUUCCUACAAAUCCUCCUACCCAUUUAAAUGAUAACAUGCGUCACAUUAAUAUCUUAAAAUAUCACUAAAUUUCAUUAAAUGAGCAUUAAAUGUUACACAUGUCACAAUUUAAUUGGAUAGAAGAAUUUAUAGAAACAAAAAAAUAGGAGGAUAUUUAAUUUCUCUAUUUAAUAUGUAUCAAUAUUUUAGUCCAUGAUAUGGGUUAAAACUUCCAAAAAAUAAUUUGUUGGUAGGUUUCGAAAAUUUAGCUGAUAUCCUGUUUUUUUCGUUAAUUUGGUAAAAAUAUUUGGAUGUUUACGAGGAUUACUAUAUUUUUUAACAAAUAACCAAAAUAUUAUGAUUUUUUGAAGAUUAUCCUUGAAUUAGUAUAUAUUAUUGUUAACAAUUCAUUAAAGCGUAACAUAUAUUUUCUAUUAUAAUCAAAUGAAAUACAGUUUUUGCUAAUUUCAAUGAAUGAAAAUGUGGAUUAAGUACUUAUAUUGUUUGCUGACCACUUCAAACUUUUUACAUUUAUCUUAUGUAUCGUUAUGAGUAUCAUGUUAAUAUACACUAUGUGGGUGUUCAUCUGAUGUUGAUGUUCUUUUAAUGUUAUUUAACCUAACUACCAUCCGAUCUCCAUACAUUAGCAACCAUCACUUCCAUCGAGAGUUAAAAGUGAACAUUGAAUGCUAGUUUAAACUAAAACAAAUGAAAGGUGAGUAUUUAUUUAAAAUGUCAUUCAACGUUCACUCCUUAUCAUAAUGUGUGCUAGCUGAUGAUUUUUAUCAGGUAAGAUAUGGAGGUUGGAUGGUAGUUAGUUUAAAAAACAUAAAAUGAACACCAACAUCAGCGGGACACCCAUAAAAUGUAUCUCACCAUGACAACCACAAUGAUGCAUAAGAAGAAUGUAGAGAGUUUUAAAUUACCAUCAAACAAUAUGAAACUAUUUAGUCCAUCUUUCUACUUCUAGAAAUUAGCAACACAUGUAUUUCUUUUAUUUAUGAAAAAAAAAAAGUUGUAUUACAUUUACAAAUGAUUUGAUAAUAAUAAUAAUGUACAUUUGUUCAAUAGUGGUCUUAAGAAAAGUUUAAAUAUUUUGGUUGUUGGUUAAAACAAAGUAAUCAUUAGGAAAAGUUUCAAUAUUUUAACCAAAUUAACAAAAAAAGACGGGAUACCGGCUAAAUCUGCAAAACUGAUCAAAAAGGGUUUUCUGAAAUUUUAGCCAGCAUUAUGUGUUUUUCUGUUAAUGAAUUUUAAUCGAUCGNAUAUAUAUAUAUAUAUAUAUAUAUGAAAAAAUUCAAUAGAGAACAAUUAUUAAUCAAGAAAUCAAGGAACCAAUCCAAACCGUCGAAAUUUAAAACGAUCAACGGUAAAAUGAAGAGUUGUAGACUUUUACAAUUGACGUACAUCCACCGGAUCAUAACAAAACGUACUUCCUUUUUUUAGUUUAAUUUUUUUAGGUCAUGUUUUUUAUAAAAAAAAAAAAGCAAAUAUAUCAUUGUUCGUGAUUUUCAGUCAUCUUUCUAUAGAGAUCCAUAUUGAUAUAUAAAAAAUGAUUCUUUUUCAAAAAACUCACUUCAUUUUCUUUGUUUGUUGAAAAGUUAAGAUCUAUUUUUUAUAGAAAAAAAUUAAUAAAUAUAUCAAAAUUCAUAUUUUUUGGUACUCUUUAAACAUAGACUCAUAUUGAUGCUAAAAAAAAUCGAUAUUUCAAUUCAGAUUCACAUUGUGGACCUGUUCAAAAUCACAUUGCAAACCUGUUCAGAUUCACAUUGCAAAUAUGCUCAGAUUCACUGUGUGAAUAAUAGUAAGUCAGAUUCACAUUGCGAACCUGUUCAGGUUCACAUUGUGAAUCUGCUCAGAUUCACAGUGUGAAUAAUAGUAAAUUUCACUAACUUAAUUUGCGAAUGAUCGAAGAGUUGAAAUAGUAAGUUAAAUUCACAUUGUGAAUGUUACAAACUUAAAUAUUUACAGUUUAGAUUCACAGUGUGAAUAUGAACUGAUCAAACUUUUUCACAUUAUAAAUGUUAAAAAUUGAAAUAUUUACAGUUUAGAUUCACAGUGUUGUGAAUCUACACUGAUCGAGUUUUUUUUAAUCGGUGUUGAUGUUUAUUAAUAGAGUAUAAAAAAUUACUCCCUCCGUCCCAUAAUAAUUUUCCACUUUUGACUUUUGAAGUCUUUAUUCAUCAACUUUGACCUUAAAUAUUGUUAUUUGUGUUAUGUAUUACUCGUUGAAACUUAUAGCAAUGAAAAAACAUUUAAAAUACAAUCCAUUCAUAAAUUUUGCAUUAAGUUUUUUAUAUCAAGGACAAAAAUAUUUAAGGUCAAAGUUGAAGAAUAAAGACUUCAAAAGUCAAAAGUGGACAAUAAAUAAGGGACGGAGGUAGUAAUAUUUUUGGUAUAAUUAGUUUUUUUUUUUUGGAUAAAAAUAAAUUUAAAUAUUGAAAAAAAUAACAAAAUGAAGUGGGUUUUUUAGAAAAAAAAAAUCUUUUUUAUAUAUCAACAUAGAUCACUAUGGAAAGAGGACGAAAAAUCGUGAACAACGAAAAAUGUGGUGUGUUUUUUGGUAAGGGGGUGGAUUUUUUGAUAUAAUCUGGUGUGUGUGCGUCCAAUGUAGAAGUGUACAUCUAUUUCCUUAGCCGUUGAUCAUUAUGAUUUCGGACGCUCACAAUUAGUUCUUUGAUUCCUUGUUAAUUAUGGUUAUUUAUUGAACCUCAUCGUUAUGUUUAAAUUGUGAAAGAUAUUUUAUGAAAAAUCCACGAGCCUAAAAGGUUUGAUUUAGAUAACAAUAAGAUAAUNNNNNNNNNNNNNNNNNNNNNNNNNNNNNNNNNNNNNNNNNNNNNNNNNNNNNNNNNNNNNNNNNNNNNNNNNNNNCACACACACUACCCGUUUACCCGUGUCAAGCGACAUGUGCGAAUAAUUUUUUUUUUUUUAAAUUAGUUCUUAGAGACGAUUAGUUCUUUUACACAAAUAGAUUACUAUAUCUAAACAAUUACCAAUAAAAGUUAAUCGUACAACAAUUUUUUAUACGGCACAUUUGAGGUAUAAACUUCGUCCUCGUUGAACUUUUUCAGCAUUCACUAAUACCUUUGGAUUGACACGUAAUUUUCCUUUGGACAAUGCAACAUAAAGUUUCUCAUGCUUGAAAAUAGUUUUCAGUCGACUGAUUUUUCUUUAAGCAGACACUAAUUAAUUCCAUUUCGAUGAGUAGUUUCUUGUUAACGAAUAAUUUUCUAUAACUUUAUUUUGACGAACAAUGAUAGUUUCUUUAGAAACACGUGAGGUUACAAAGAACAAGAAAUGCAUCAACAUAUAUCUAAGUUUAUUUUGCGGGGAUUGUUUGAUGAAUAGUUUUAUUUAAGGUAAAUAGUUUUUUAUUUUACGUAAAUAGUUGUUUUUGAAAGAUGAUGAAUAGUUUUUUCAAUGAAUAGUCGUUUGUUAGUAUCGUUAAGAUUUUUGUAUUGAUUUAUAAUUAACCAAAAAUGACAAAGGAUAUUUGAGAUUACCAUUAGAAACCAACGUUUUAUUUUAUUUUAUUUUCAUAGCAUAAUCUGUCAUUUUUAGAAACAUUAUUGGGGUUUGAUUGGUUAAAUAAUACUUCCUCUCUUCCAAAAUUAUUGUCCACCUUACUAUUAUAGUUUGUCUCAAAAUUAUUGUCCACUACCAAAAGUAGAUAUAUACUUUUACCAUAUUACCCCUAACAUUUAAUAAAGUAAACUUGAAUAAUUACAAACACACAUUUUCCAUUGGUUUUAGAAAUGGGCAAGAGGGUCAUUUUACUCAAAAAGACAAAAGUAAUGAUUGUUUUUCUUAAUUUAUGUGUUUUUUGUCCGUGGACAAUAAUUUUGGGACGGAGGGAGUAACAAUUUUCACAAUCUAAUAUAGUGAUCGUUAACAAAGAAAAUUAUUGAUCAAUCAAAACAUCAAUUUACCAAAAUACCCAUGGUAUACUAAAAUGCUAUAAUAUCAUGAUAUAAUCAAUAUUGAUAUAUUGUUUAAAGUUUCAUGACCUAAUAAAAAAAGUUAAAUGACCAAUAUACAUAUAUUAAAACUAGAAAGGUGUACCCCCCUUCGCGGGGUGUUGGAAGGUGUCACUUUUGAAUGGUAGGCACACUAAAGUACAUUGCUAUUCUCUGCAAUUCGCCUGUACAUUUCUAUUUCUUAACCUGUACAUUGCUAUUUCUUAAUUUGAUAACUAUAAAUGAAAGAGGUUUUCAAAGAAUAUUGGUUCUAACAGUUUUGAUUUAAGAAAAUUUUGAAAGCUUGUACUUUAACAUGAAUAGCAUCCAGAAUUGGUUUCCAUUCCUCCACUUGUUCCCCUGUUCAUGUAAACUCCCAUCUUUUUUUUUUGUUUCUAAUGAUAGCUCUAUCAGGACUCAAUUGUUGAUGGUGAUGUACGUACUUCCUCGCUUGUCCCUCCAUCAAAACCCUGGAGGUUUCCAGGUUCAACCAUGAUCGAUCAAAAGAAAAUAGAAGUGACCCACUUCAAUUUCUGAAGUUAUUUUGCAUGAAUCCUCUGUAGGGCGACGAAAUCGUACCCCAAAACGAAGGAAUAGAUAAAAAUAAAGAGAAACAACAGAAGCGGGUAACCGGAAGGUCGGGAUCAGAAUUGCAGAAAGGAAUUACAGAAGAAGAGAAUUAAAGAAGAAGAAGAGAAUUAAAGAAGAGAGAAAGUCGGGUAACUGGACGGUUGCGUGAAGCAGAAGAACCAUCAACCUGGUGAAGAUGAUGGAAGGCGUUGUCGAUCCAUUCAUUGCCGACCUGCGGACAUCUUCUCCCACUUACCGAUAUUGAGCGGAAUCGGUGGAGGCCUCUUCUUUUCCCACUUACAUUGCGAGGUCAUAUGUAUUGUUUUUUUUUGGUCUAAGUCGUUAAAACAAUUUGUUACGAUAGUAUUUUUUAUAAAACACAUUGAAAGGUAAUAUAUACAAAUAAGCAAAAAAUAAAAAAAUAUAAUCAACUAUGUACUCAAUAGAAGAUUUGGGAUUCGGGAAGCUGAUUACACAUCAAAACAUUUUAUCAAAUUUGUAACAAAAUCAAUACCAAGUUUGAUUUGACAACAAUACUCAAUAGAAGAUUUGGGAUUCGGGAAGUUGAUUACACAUCAAAACAUUUUAUCAAAUUUGUAACAAAAUCAAUACCAAGUUUGAUUUGACAAAGUCAAAGUAAACAUUUUUUUUCUUGUCCCUGUGGUUGCAUCAGUCUUUCCAUUUCCAUGAUGGCAACAUCUACUUGCUCUGCUGCCACCUGCCAAGCAGCAGAAAUAAUAUAUUCAUGUGAAGACCAAAACGACAUAUGGUAUGUUGCUAUUUUUUUACCAAAUAAUAAAAUUGCAGCAUAUAAUUGGUUCCACGGUGGGUAACUUCAACCUUGAAUCUUGUCAUUGUUUUUUUGAUCUACUCAGCAUAAAAGAUGCAAAAUAAUAGUAAUAAUAAUAACACAUCAAUUAGUGUUGAAUCAUAUUAAAACAAUUUUUAAAAAAAGAAGCUAACCUUCAAUCGGUCUGCAUCAGAUAAAGGUCUUGCAGAAACAUGUCAAUUCAAAAGCUGUGUUAGAAAGUUGAUCACAGGCAAUGGCUCGAUGAACGCAGUAGAAAACAUAUAUGCAUCACAAACAUGUCAUAAAACAACAUCACGACAACAAAUUUCAAAGAACACCAAAAGAAAAGUUGCAAAUUUUUUAGUAAAUUACAAAAUUUUUCCCUGCACUUUCUGAAUUUUAUAAAGUUUUGCCCUUAUUAAAGAUUCUAUAGACUAAAAUCAAUGAGAAAAUAUUGACCAAACUCAGAGUUGUUGGAAAAAAUGAUUGGGUUAGUUCAUUAUAAUCCAAAAUAUAAGGCAUCCAUAAACAAAUGAAAGUAAGUACAUUGCUAUUUUAAACAUCCACAACAUUAAGAAAGCAGCUGAAAUUGUCCAUACCAACCAAUCCCUAAAUCACUGCAGACUGCUUAAUGUCAAUCCACCGGGUGUAGUUACAAUACGACACCAAUAACCCUACGAUUACAAUAUCCUAAUAAACGAACUCUAAAAGUACUCUAAACCAAUCAAUGAAAGUUCAUUGCUAACAUAUGCAUUUAAAUAUCCUGCAUGCCCUGUUCGUGAAGAUUGGCUAUUGAUGUUUUCUCCCCCAUUGCCUUGGUCAUCAAUCCGUGAGUAUCUACACAGAAAAAAAAAAGAAUUGGGUAUCAGAUGCAGGAAAAAAAAUCUAAUGAAAACCUAAAAAAUCAUAGAAGUUUCAUAUAUUGUUUCCUAAUUUAACCAUUUUCACCUCUUAUAUCAUGUUUUAAUAAUAAUUUGCCCUAAUGUGAAAAUUAACAAAUGAGGAAAGUAAAAAAGUUCACUUACUUCUUCUUCCCAAUUUUUUCUAUGUCCAGGAGAUGGUGGGACCCACAACUGUCCAUUCUCUAAAACCUUCAUUAAAUGUGAGUUAUCUUUUGAUGAACGCAAGAAUACAGAAGCUGACAUACUGCACACUCAUUCCUUUUGUAGUGAUGUUUGUGUUCUUAUUGAAAGUAAAACUUGCAAAGUUUGAAAGAUCUGUAAAAAAAAAUUAAGAUAAUUAAAACUCUUGUUUCCUUCAAAAUCAAUAAAGAAUCAAGAUUUGAUAGCUUCGGUGUAAGGGAUGUUUCAAUUGGUUUUAGAAAGUGAUUAUGUAAUAGUGAAUGAAAAUAAAGUAAUCAAGCCACAAAUAACAUCAUCGUUCCAAAGAUUACAUCCAAAGACCCAUCUAAAAGGGAAUCAUAAAUCAACUAUUCGUCGGAAUAGCUUCACGGCUUCUACGGAUUUUAAAUUAAAGUAAAUAUUAAAGGCAUCCGAGGCUUUCCAACAAUUGCAUCAACCUUGCAACAUGUAAGUAAAAUAGAUAAAUAUAUAAUAAUUGUUUAUUUGUUUCAAAAGAAGUGUUUUUUUUUUAACUAAAACUAUAAAUUUUAUGUAUUCACUUGUAAAUAGAAAAAAAUAAUAGAAGUUUACCAUCAACUUUUCAAUUAUGCCCCUGCCCCUUGAUCAAAUUAUUCGAAGACAAAUCAGAUCUGGUUGAAGAACAAAAUAAUAAGUAAUAUUUGAAAAAAAUUCAACAUUAAAAUGUCCCUAUAAUCAAAUUAUUCCAACGGUUUGAGAACCUGAAUCUUCAUAAUAUUUAGAGUGCCCUACAACAAAAAAGUCCCAAUAAGUAGCGAUAAACAGAAGAUACAAUAUGAGAGGUUGUCCAUUAACAAAACCGAUUUAAUAUUGUAAGUAUGUUGUUAUUAUCAAUAAACAUUAGAGCAUAGAGGUUAAGUACAUUGCUAUUUUUGCAAAAUAUAAAAAUAAAAAAAUAAAAGAAAUCAAAGGGCGAUUAGACAACCAACCGGUUAGAAACCGAAAGAUUUUGGUGUGUGUGUGUGAGAGAGGGAGACAGAGUGCUGAUGUGGAUACCUAUACCAUAAAGUGAUGAGACGAUUUGUAUGAUUCCCACUGUGAUCGUUUGAGAAUGAACUUUUUGUUCUUGCAGCUGGUAUUACUAUCACCCUGAUAAAAAAAAAUAUAACGAUAAAGCAUUGUAAGGGUAUUAGGGUAAUAAGGGUAGUUUAGUUAUGAUCAUCACAAAGUACAAGUUGAAGAGGCAUGAUUUGAAAUCAAAGCACACACUUGGCCAGUGUCCGUUCUCAUGAGAAACAUUGAACCCUUUAGCAAAUUACUAUAAUUUUUAAAAACAAACAGUUCAAUGGAUAUUUCGAUUUUUUUAAAAUACCAUUAGGCUAUUUACUAACAAUUCAGAUUUGGAUAAGAGAAACUUUAUAUAAAAAAACCUUAAUACUUGUGAAUCAUCGAAUGGCUUCAUCUUUCAGGUCCACUGUCUCAUUGUUCUUCCUCAUAAGGACCUGUAAAUGUACACAUACUUAAACACAACUGAUAAUUUGAAACAAAGGUCAUAAACAAAGCAAAAGUGGGAAAACUCGUUGACCCCAAAUAAGUAAAUAACUUCUAUAAAGCAACAAUUUAAAUAAAUUAAAAAGGAAUUUCAAUUAAUUAAGAAAAAGAAAAGGGGAAAGACAAAUUACAUUAAAUUCAGAUUCUAUGGCCUCGAUUUGUUGAUUCCAAAUGGCUGCAACAAAUUUUGUAGGCUUGGAUCUAUUAAACUGUCUAAACCAACAAACAACAACCAAAAACAUAAAACAAUCAUCAGAUAAAAAAUAAUCAAAGUACAACACCUGAUAUAUAGUAAAAAUGAUCAUAUUUCUAAAGAUUAAAAAUGACGUAACUACAAUAUUUUAUGUGAGAAUCAUGUUAUUUGAAGAGAAAUCGGCGCUUAUGGUUCGAAGUCAAACAAAAACCCUAAUCAACCGUCGAAUGACCUAUGCCUUUGAUGAAUCGUCUUCGUAGGUAUUUCUAUCGAUGCGAUCCUCUAACGUAAUACCAUCUACCCACCCGAAGCGGCGGUAAGGGGUGAUAGCGACCAGCGAAGCGGCAAAGAGAUGAAAAGGAAAUUUCUAGUAGCUGGAGAGAUGAGGCGGUGGAUGAAGAUCUAUCCGGAUGAAAACGGAAAAGGAUGAACAACAUGUGUGAUGGUUUUGAGGGGCGACGCAACUGGAAGUCGGAGGGUGUAAAGAAGAAUGACAGCAAUCAAAAUAUCAUUGGGCGAAAAAACGGUACAAAACACGUGUUGAUAUAUAAGCAGAGGAUCUAUUUUGCCAAAUGUAUAUAUAAAGAAGGACCAUUUUUGCUCCAUCCUUAGCAAAUUUACUGUAGCUAAGGAUUCCGUCCCAAAAUUAUUGUCCACAGACAAAAAAACACACAGAUUAAGAAAAUCAAUAAUUAGUUUUGCUUUUUUGAGUAAAAUGACUUCAUUGUCCUUUUUUAAAACCAAUGGGAAAUGUGUAUUUGUAAUUAUUAUAGUUUACUUUAUUAAAUGUUAAGGGCAACAUGGUAAAAAUGUAUAUCUAUUUUGGUAGUGGACAAUAAUUUUGGGACAAACUAAAAUAGUAAGGUGGACAAUUAUUUUGGGACGGAAAGAGUAUAAUAAGAGAUAAGAAUAUAGAAAGAAAUGGUCUAAAUAAAGACACACGUCAUUUGUAUACAUAAAUAAUAGUUUUUUGACAAUUUAAUUUACAUAUAUUCAUUAAGAUAAAGUAGUUACCGGAAAGUUGAUAACUAUCUAUUCUAAUAAACGAAUGUUUUUUUUAUUACAUGUCAUAUUCUCAUUCAAUUUGUCAAAUGUCAUUUCGUGGCUGUUUUGAAUUAAUUUUUUUCCACACAUCAUUUUAUGGGUUUUUCUAUUUUAAUAAAUUACACAUAAUACUUUAAUGUAAUAAUGACAAUAAAUAUAUUAAUAAACAAAUAUCAAUUUCAUUAAUGAACUUACAUUCUUAUUUCAAAAUUCUCAAAUUAAAGUUCAUUAUUUUAUUUUGUUUAUUUGUUUAAAUUUAAAAGAUAAAAAAAUCAAUUUUAAUAAUUUAUUACUUUUUUUCUUAUAAAUCCAAAGUUCUUAAAUAUUUAAACCUUUAUAUAUAUANAUCAAUUUAAAUAAUUAAUUAUUUUUCUUAUUUUCUUAUAAUUCCAAAGUUCUUAAAUAUUUAGACUUUUAUAUUUAAUUUUUUUAAUUAACCCAUGUAAUACAUGGAUCUUACACCUAGUUUGUUAUAUAAACCAAUAUUUGAUUCUAAAGUUUUUUUUAAUACAUUGUAUUAUAUAAAUAUACCAAACAUAUAACAUUUUAUCCUAAAUUCUCCUACAUUAUUUUAUGAUGUAAAAAUAAUAUAUUAUAUUUAAAUAUUAUAAUUAACAUGUGUAUUAAACUUUAAUUAAAAUGGGAAAGUAAUUUUGAUUGUAUAUACGCAUCAUUUUUUUUAGUUAAAUGUCAUGUUAAAUUUUAGUUUGAAGGUGGAACUUGACACAUCAUUUUAUUAUUAUUUUUAUUAUAUUUGGGAUUAUGCUAUAAGUACUUCAUUAACUAAUUUUACCUCUCCCCCCACCCAUCCUACAUCAAUCUAAUCAAUCUUUUACUUUUGAUUUGACAUCAUUUUUUUUGUUUUUAUCUUUUUUUGUUUUUAUCUUUUUUUGUUUUAUUAUCAUUAUUACUAUUAUUAUUAUUAUUGAUUUCGAUAACCAUUUAAAAUACGGACAACAUUUUAAAAUUCGGCCAACAUUAUAAAAUUUGAACGACUAUAUAAAAUGGAACAAAAGUAAAGUUUGUUUUUGAUCCGCUUACCAUGCAUAUGUAAUACCGAACCAAUUAAUAUAUCCAUGAUAAAUAAAGACAAACUUUGUUUUUGUUAUGUUUUAUAUAGUCGUUCGAAUUUUAUUAUGUCGUCCGAAUUUAUAAUGUCGUCAGAAUUUUAAAAUUUUAACCGAAUUUUAAAAUGUUGUCCGAAUUUUAUACGGUUAUCGAAAUUUAUAACAACAACAACAACAACAACAACAACAACAAUAAUAAUAAUAAUAAUAAAACAAAAAACAAAAUAAGAAAAAAAAACAACAAAAGACAAAAAAAAUCACAUAAGAAUGAUGGAAUUAAAAAAUGAGAUAAGGUAUUUAUAGCAUUAGCCAUUACAAAAGGGAACUGAUAUUUCCACUGUAAAUUUUAAUCCAUCCACUGAGAUUUAUUUGAAUUGCCCAUUAUACCAUUCUAUUAAAGUUUUUAGAUAUUACAGGGAAAAAGAUUCUAGGGCUAACGACGCUCCUUCCUUAUUUGAUCUUGCUUUCUCAUCGGCGCAAAUUCUUCAUCUCAUUCUCAAAAGGUAAGUGAUCCUCAUUAUCUAAUUAUGUUUAAACCAUGUGUAUGUGUAAGAAUUUUCAAUCUCUGAUUCUCAAACACCUUUCAUUGCUAUGUGAAUGAAUUGUCGAAGUUUAAAGUUUUGAUCGAUUGAACAUAUUGAUUCUCUGUGCGUAUGACUAUGAUUCUCUGUACAUGAGUAUGAAUUGUGAAAUUUUUUUAUUAUAUGAAUUGUCAAUUCUCUGAUUCUUUAAUUUGUCUGCAACAAGAGCUUGGUAGUCAUAAACUUAGUCUUCAAAAAAAUGGUGCAAGUCACCUUACGUUGUAAUAUUGAAGACUGGAAACUCCAAUAACAAUUGACAUCACAGGUUUGGGUGAAACUGUUUCAGUUGAUUACUCUUAGCCGAUGGAUAUAGAAGGCAAGAAACGAAUUAAUUCUUAACAGGAAAAUAUCUUCACCAGUACGUUCAUAUUUGAUAAUGUUGUAUCUUUGGUGCUUGCAUGGCUUAAACAUAGGGUAGGGGUGGGGGGAAGGAAAAGAUGGAAUAGUCGGUGUAUAUCUCCUUUCCAUUAAUUGUAAAUACUUGGUGCUUUUUUUUUCUUUGUCUUCGUACUAGCCUUUCUACUUUGCAAAGUUUAUAAAAUUCUUGCCGGUUCAAAAAAAACUAUUAUGCACAAGGAUGAUUUUAUCAUAAUCACUGUGCAGAAUUUGUUGGAUAUAGGUCUACACAUGAUAAAAAGCAAAUGAACUAUACAUGAAAAAAUAAAGAACAGAGGCUCAAAAUAUGGGACCAUUAUUUGAGUUUUUAGUUAUCUAUUUUAAUCUCAAACUAGUCCUACUAUGCUGAAAAUAAAAUGCAACAAAUAAACCCACGUACUCUUCCUAGACUGCUGCCACUAUUCCCUUAUUCUACACCAAACUGCCUCAGACUAUGACCAAUUCUUUUGCUCCAAGUUUAUAUUAAAAACAACUAGAUUAACCGAACAUAAUUCACCAAACCACUUUGAAAUUCAAGACUUAUAGCUUUGUGGAGGGAUGCAACAAAUUUACCAAUGACCAGUAUUUUUUGACACUCGCCUCCAUUUGAAGCUUGAAGCAGCGAAGGAAAAAGAUGCGCUGCUGGAGAUUGCAUCACAAAACCACGAUCUUGUAAUUUGGAAACAAUAUUUCAUGGGAUAUUUCUCUCUCUUCAAUAUCAUUUUCUUUAAAUGAAGGGCAUAUUUGUCAUUAUAUUAAUUUUUCAGUGGAAAAAGUAAAAGCCACAGUGGAAAAAUCAAUACCCCUCCAAAAGUUUUCGAUUAAUCACGUGAUACUGCUAACGAGUUAAGUGGCAUAAACUACGCAUAAGAGUGUCAACUUUUAUUUCAAAAGUCAACAAAAUCCGUCUAACCUUAUCCAUGUGAUGGGCAGAACAAAUUAGUUACACGCAUAAACCUACACUAAACGGACGAGGAAAUUAUUGUAUGUUUAAAUAAUAAUGGUUUUUUUUUUCGUGUUUAUUAUAUGAUAUAUUAACAAGAUGAUCCGGAAAAUUUCCCUUUCAAAUUCUAAAUGCUUCGCUGAAAUCGUAUAAAAAGAAUAUAUUAAUGUCAAGGUUUAUUUUAAGAGUCGUAUUUUUAGAGGUCACAUAUUUUUUUUUGAACAGUCAAGUUUAUUAUAAUUAACAAGAUGCUAGAUAAAAAUCAGUAUUACAAGGAAUUGAUAUAAAUGAUAGAGUUUUGCAAUCUAUCGACCCAAAGAAAGAACAAGUGAUAAACAAGUCUAUCGAUAAUACCGUAUUUUCUCGGCAUUCUAGAUCUAAAGAUCAACUCAUCUCGGAAAUUCCAUAUCAACCAUAGCAAAGUAAGAACCAUCGCAUUAAAACAUCAUUUAUGGUUGUUGCUCAUAGGGAUGAGCGUGGUCCACGAAUCUGACCAAAAUUCAAAUUCUACCAAAACCAAAUCAAUUUUUUUUACGAACUGUAGACUAUCGGAUAUGUAUAUCUAGUCUCUGAUUUGUUUCGGUUUUGGUCGGUGGUCAAUCCAAGAUUCAAUCUCACAUGUGUUUAACUUGAUUAAUGUGACAAAAUUAAUAGGUUGAAAAAGUUUGUUUAUUGGAUCUGAUUAUUAAUAAUAUUUUGAGAUUUAUUAAGUGUUUAUAUGGAUUGAAAGACUUAAAAAUUUUGAAUUUUAAACGUGUUGUGUGCUUCUCAAACCUCUAACUUUUAGAGGUGAUUUUAAUAUAUUCCAAAAAUAUCUAAAUAUUUGAUUUAAAAAUCAAGAGUAGAAACUACUUCCAUUGAUCAUAAACUAACAAAAGUCCAGAAGGAUUGGAAGUAAAGAUCGGAAGUGUUUGCAAAACUAAUUAUUCACAUAUAUAUUAUUGCUAAAAAAAAUAAAACUUCUAAAAAAAAAAUCAAAGAAUCAUAGAUGUCCAUAUAAGAAAAUGAGAAGUGUUCAUUUAAAAAUAUGGUACAAUAUCAAUUUAUUUUUCAAAUCAAGGGAUAUCUACUUAGGACUGAAUAUUUUGUCAAAAACGUCCAAGUCAAAAACCUAAAGUAAUGAAAUUCUUGACAUACACUAAAUAUCUUUGGCACCAAUCCUGAGUUUUCUUACUCAGUUAAUAAAUAUUAUAAUGAUAUUAUUUAUGGCAUAUAUGCCAAAAUAAAUGUCGACAACAAUUCGUUGGGAAAUGGAAAGUAUGAACUAUGAGGAAUAAAAAUUUAUUGGAGGUUUUGAGGUUUGACAGCGUAAACUCAUGUUGUUCAUGGCCUACUCCAACUCAAGUAUAGUGACCCAUUAUGGGCUACUUCAAUGGCCCAAAACAGGGGAUCACAAUGUGGAUAUAUUAUCAAAUUUUCAUAAUAGGGUAAUUUGAUUCAUAUUCAUCUAUACCAAAUAUUAUCAAAUAUUAUCAAUCUUGAACUCGUUUUGUUGAGAGAUGUCUCUCCCACAUUUUUUUCAGUUGCAAAAAACAGCAUUGACUUAUUAGUAAAAUUUUAUUACUUGACACCUGAACAAUCAAGAAAAUAAGAAUCACUCUACCCAAAAAGAUAAGUCGUUGUUCAUUUUGUGAUUCAUGCGUCGACCACUUAUUCAUCUCCUUGGUUGUGGAUGGAAUUGAAUUUGAUUCAAAUUUCAUUUUUCUUGUUUCAUGUUUCUACAAAUUCAAUGUUAUCGAAUUUAGUAUGCAAUAAUUAUUUUAUAUUAUCAUCAAGAAUAUGUAGUCACUAACGACUAUAAGAAUUUGGAUGACACACAAUUAAAGCAACAAUUCAAACAAUGAAGAUAUCAAAAUUUAAAAGGAGUUCGCAGUUUAAUUAAAAAACGAAACUAUAUCAAGGAAUAUCAUGUGUGUUACUGUUGUUUAUUUUUGAGAAAAUGAUAAAAUUAGCCAAAUACACUAAUCACCUUACAAAUUUAGCUAAAAAAUUGAAAUUGCAAAAAUAACCACUGAAUUCGCAGAUAGAAAAGCCCCAUCUGCGAUUUUGGCUUUCCAUCUGCGAAUGUACAAGUGCCUAAAGCACAUCUGUGCUUUAGGCACUUGUACAUUCGCAGAUGAAAUUUUUUUUUCAAUUUUUUUUGUGUAUAUAUAGUGUUUUAGCAGACUUAAAUCGCAGAUGGACACAGUCCAUCUGCGAUUUCCUCUCCAGUUCAUCUGCGAAAUAAUGUUUUUUUUUAAUUUUUUUUUUUAAUUUUGACUAUGAAAUCAAUUGGUUUGACUACGAAAUAACCUUACUAUAUAUAAACUUUUGUAGAAAAUUAUCAGUUUAGUUGGUAUUUCUUUUGGAAAUUUCUUUAAACUCUCUCUAAAAAAUGAUUGAAUAUCUGGUUUGUCUUGUAACCGGUGGGAAAUGGCAAGUAACCAAACACUCAAAUCUGGAAUACGUAUGUCCACAAGGAGGUAUUUCUGAAUUCACGUUCAUAUUUUAUGAGUAUAUUAGUUAUAGUGAAUUUGUAUAUCUGGUGAGAAGCAAAAUUGGUUUGUUAGACAAAUAUAGAAUUAGUCUUCGUUUCCAUCAUCCUGAAUUGAACUAUCAUAUAACUAUAGUUGAAGAUAUGUAUGUUAGAAUGUUGAUAAAUGUAAUCAAAUGUAGUGAAGGAAGGGCUGUGAAAGUGUUUGUGGUGGUUGAUGAAGGAGAUUUGGUUAAUGAGGCUGGUCAAUUUCAUAGUGUUGAUGAUGUUAAUGAGGUUGGUAAUCUAUGCAAUUAUAAAUGGAGCAACGAUCCGAUAAGUACUUUCAAUACUCCCAGUGUACCUCAAUUUCAUAGUGUUGCUGAAAAUGUUAAUGGUAGUUAUUCACCUAUUAACUAUGUGGACCUGAGAAUUNUACAAGUAUGUUGGUGAUGAUGAUGUUGGUACAUAUCUUAAUGACGUGGGUGGUCGUUGUUUUGAUGUUCCCGAACAAGAAGUUAAAGUUAUGAAUAGGCGUGUAGUAGAUAAAAGUAAAAAGAAAAAAAAAUAUGCGUCAAAAGAUGAAAAAAAGCAUGUUUAUGGGGAUUAUGUUGAUAUUGUUGAUGUAGGUUUAGAUAUAACCGAAUUAAAAAAACAAUUCAGAUGGAGAUGAGUUGGGUGAUGAAUUCAAAGUUAAGUUUCCCGAUAACCUUUUUUACGGUAUACCCCCUCUACCAGAAUGUCCAGUUGAUAUUAAUGAAGAUAUCCCAACACAGAUGGUAGACAUCAAUCUUCAAAAGAUUGAAUGUGAGAGUAUAUUUAAGAACAAAGAACUUUUAAAGCGGUGUAUUGGUAAAAAAUGUCUUCGAGAAGGUUUUCAGACGAGGAUAAGUAUAUCCACCAAAUCAAGGUAUGAGGUUGUAUGUGUUUCGAAAAAUUGUUCUUGGUUACUAAGACCGAAAGCAAUUAAAAAUUCUGAUGAACUUUUCCAAGUGAAUAAAUUUGUUGAUGUACACACAUGUUCUUCAACAAUUUUGCAACCUAAUCAUCGGCAAGCAAACAAAUAUGUUUUGGGUGAAUAUCUUGCUGAUGUUUUGGCUGAAGAUUAUAGUAGAGUUUAUCGGGGAAAAUAUAUUGUUAAUGAUAUGAAUGCUCAAUUGAAUAUCAAUAUCUCAUACCAUUAGACAUGGUGUGCGAAGCAAUAUGCAUUGUUGUCGUUAAGGGGUACGAAAGAGGAUUCUUUUACCAAACUUCCGGCUUAUUUCCACAACUUGGUCAAACAUAAUCCGGGUACGGUGACACAUAUUAAAACAGAUGGUGAUGAUCGCUUUGAGUUUUUGUACGUCGCACUUGGUUGUUCGGUUAGUAUUUAAAUAUUUUAUUAUUUUUUCCGUUUUUUUAGUGUAUUUGAAUAGAUAUAUACAAUGUAUUGUAGGUACGCGCUUUUGUCAAUUUCUAUAAACCGACCCUUGUAGUAGAUGGAGCCCACCUAAAGGGCGAGUUCAAAGGAACCAUGUUACUUGCAGUUACCAAGGACGGACAAAACCAAAUAUUACCGGUUGCAUAUGGUAUCUGCAAAAAUGAGUGUACAGAUUUUUAGACAUUGUUUUUUCAAAAACUACGUGAUUGCAUAGGCAAUAUGUAGGAGCUUACAAUUAUAUAUGAUAGGUCUCCAUCUAUAGCAACAUCCGUUGCCAACAUUUUUCCUCACGCUCAUCACGGAAUAUAUGGUGUCCAUUUGUAUUUCAACAUAGUAUCUAGAUUCGGGAAGAGUAACACAGUUAAAGGAAUUUUUUGGGAGGUUUGUAGGGCGUACACAGUUGAUGCUUUUAACGCUGCCAUGGAUGUUAUGAAAAAGACAAAAGAACGAGUAUGAGAGUACUUAAAAAGUAUAAAUCCAGAAACUUAGUCUAGGGCACAUUUUAGAGGGAACCGAUACAAUCUAAUGUCGUCCAACAGUGAAGAGUCUAUAAAUGCAUUAUCGAGACACGCACGUAAGGUGCUAAUACUUAUAUUGAUCGAUUUUUUUUUCGUGCAACAACAAUCCGUCCCCUUGUAAACGAGGGGCGGAACCAAAUACGGUAUCUCUAAAUAUAUCACGUCUGACACCAUCUAACACUUCAAAUACUUCCCAUAUAUUACACCCCGAUCUUUUUAAGUUUACAAUUGCUUUCACAUUGAAAUUAUUAUAAUCAUGUUGCACAAAACACAAUAACAUAUUAGAGAACUAAACAAAUAUUUCAUUUUAAAAUAUAUGAUUAUUAAGUGGAAUAAUAACAUAAACAAUAAUAACAAUGCAAAUACAAAUAUUUAAUAAAUAAUUUAUAUAUUUAUGCUAAAAAACAAUAUCAUAUUAUAACAGUUUUUCAACUUAAACGACAAAUAUAUAAACAAUUUUUCAAGUUAUACGACAAAUAUACAAACAAUUUUUAACUUUCAAAUUAUAUAAAAUAACAUUUUCUAACCAUAUAAACAAACAAUUUUUCAACUAAAACGACAACUAAAUUAACAAUUUUUCAAGUUAUUCGACAAAUAUACAAACAAUUUUUAACUUUCAAAUUAUAUAAAAUAACAUUUUCUAACCAUACUAUAAAAUCUUUUCUACUAAAACAACAAAUAUAUACAAAAUUUCAAGUUAUACGACAACUAUACAAACGACUAUUGUACACAUAUUAUAAAAUUUUCUAACCAUACUAUAAAAAAAUUUAUACUUCACCAACAAAUAUAUACAAAUCUUCAACUUAUACGACAAAUAUAUAUACAAACGACUAUUCUAUACAUACUGUAAACAUUAUUUUAACCAUUUUUCAAUUUAUAAAGACAAUUACACGAUAAGAAUAUACAAAUUUUCAAGUUAUACAACAACUAUACAAACGACAAAUAAUAUAUUCUAACCAUGCUAUAUCAAUUUAUCAAAUUAAACCACUAACCAAAACAUUAUGUAAACAUUAUUCUAACAAUUUAUUUAACUAAUAAAUUAAAAAAAUUAGCAUAUUCUAACCAUUUUACUAAAUGUACAACCACCCGAUGCACACUCUACACAGUCUCUACUUAUACAUUCAUACGACUACUAACAAAAUAGCAUUUAAACUUCAAGUUUACUAAUAACAAAUAUUAAAACUAUCAAAUACAACAAACUUACCCUAUCACAAACAAUAUAAUUUCAUUUUUUUACACUAACUAAUAAAAUAAAUAAUAAAAUAAUAAAGACAUAUACUAAAUAAAUGUUAAUUAAAACAUAAAAAGAGUUAAAAUCUAACCAUACUUGCGGGAUUAUUGAAAUAAUCCUCAAUUUUCUUCAAAAAAUCGUCAAAAGGAAUCCCCGAGAGAGAAAGUUUUUCUGUAUUGAAAAGUGAAAAAUGAAGAAAAAAAACGUUUUAUAGAGUUUUCAGUAGAAAAUCGCAGAUGAACAGUGCAAAUCGCAGAUGGAAAGCCAAAAUCGCAGAUGGGGCUUUUCCAUCUGCGAAUCCAGUGGUUAUUUUUGCAAUUUCGAUUUUUUUUUGCUAAAAUUGUAAGAUGAUUAGUGUAUUUGGCUAAUUUUGUCAUUUUCUCUUUAUUUUUCCCUGCUUUCCAGUUUAAUGGAUAUCAUUGUCAUGUAAAACACAAUUACCAAAGGGCUUGUAGCCCAGCGGUAUCAGGUGGUGUCCUCCCUCUUUUAGGUCGAGGGUUCAAGUCUCGUUGUGGACAUAGAUGGAAUAGGUGUUGUUAGCUUAGGAGUAGAUUAGAUUUGUCGGUUCAAAAAAAAAAUGUAAAACACAAUUAAUGAUGAAUAAAUCGAUUUGGACUGAUUCUUUUUUACCAAUGAAAUGGGUCAUAAAAAGUGAAAACUAAAACCGACAAUUCUAACCUUUGUUAAACAAUUUGAUUACAAAACCUCUGAUUUGGUGAAACGAAAUGUAGUCUGGUGGCAAAAGUUAUCCAAUGAUUUCAAUUUCUAUCUACAUAAUUCAAAAGACCAGAAAAUUGUAAUCAGCAAAUUACCAAAAAAAUUCAAUAAGUUAAAGGUUUAAUAGUUAUUAUAUGUGGUUGAAAGAAAGAAAAAUCGAUGAUAAAAAAACAAAAGUUUGCUCACCAAGACUAGGGAUCUCCAUAGGAGGUGGACGGCUCUUAUUUUUUGGUCCCACUUGUUCAGGUAUACUUGUGGGGACAAUGGCUACAUAAGUUUCUAUCUAGGGAUGGAAAUGGGGCGGGGUUGACCAUCCUUGUCCCCAUCUCCGAGUGUCUAACAUCGUCUCCAUCCUCAUCCCUAUCCCCGACGGAUGCGGGGAAUCAAAUUUCCUCCCCUUUGUAUUUUGGGCUUCUCCCCAACUGAUCCCCGACCCAUCCUCAAUCUAUCAACAUAAUAAACUCAACUUAAAAAAAAAUUAAUUAAUUAUCAAAACCAUAUCUCAUAAUUAGAUUCUGUUUAUAUCAAUCAUAAAAUUUUAACAAGCAUCAAAACCAAAAUCAACAAUUUGAUACACAGAUCGUCGAACAAAGUGACGAUUGAUAAACUCUUGGAUAUGGAAACAUAAUUUGGUAUAUAGACUCUAUCUCUGAUGGUCUAAUAUAGAUCAAAUCAUUUUAGUGGGCUUAAUUUAAAUUCAAUAAAUGAUCGAUAUACUAAGUGGGGGCGGGGCGGGUUGGGGAUUGUUNCAUCAAAGUGGGGGCGGGGCAGGUUGGGGAUUGUUAUACCCGGCCCCAUCCCCAUCCCCAGUUUUAGCAUAAUGGGAUCCCUAACUCCGUACCCGGUACCCGUUUUGACAGGGAAUACCUGUCCCCGAUUGGGGCGGGUUAACCGGGUUCCCCACCGGGUCGGUAAAAUUUCCAUCCCUAUUUCUAUCUAACAUGGUGAAAUUAUUUCAGCCAAAGUUGUUAAAAUCGUGAACUUAUUUAAGAUCCUUUUUUACUUUGCAAAAUCAUAAUCAUAAAAUCGAAUCGGGAUCGUAAGAUUAUAUACACACACACACACACUCACUAGACAUCUACCCGCACAAAGCAGUGGCGGCAAAUAGUUUCAUUCGACAAUUAGUUUCUUUCGAUAAUUAGUUCGAUUCGAUAAUAUGUUAUAUUUCAAGGAACACAAAAUCGAUACAUAAUGUUAUCAGUCGGUUUUACGGCAAAAAUAGUUUCCUUUCGUCAAAUAGUUUAUUUUGGCGAUUAUAUUCAUUUCAACGAUUAAUUUCUAUAAGGAAACACAUCACCUUCCAAAGAGCAUGCAAUGUAUCGAAAUGUGUUUUGCAUCCCACAAAGACCGGGCACAUUGUUAUGGUAUGCUCAUGAUUAUCCCAAAUAUCAGUUUGAGGUUUGCUAACUUUUUUUUAUUAAUAAUAUCAUUCUUGAAAUUAUAUCAAGUAUCCAACUAAACAUCAUUCAUGUAGCUACACUUAGUCCCACUAACUACUUCAUGAUUCGUAGGAUAACUCAUAGCAAUUCUUGUUGAAAGUUGUAUGAAUUUACCAUAAAAAACGUAAUUGAUAACCAUUGUAAAGAAGAUAAAAAAAUUUCUAUUUCUAUAAAGAAUAGCUAACCAUAAAUUUUGUAAAAGUAGCAUUAUCAAAUAAAACAAUUAUAAAUAUUGAUUCCUAUUGCUAUUAGUGUGAAUUGAGGCAAUCCCCAUUAAAAACAAUGGAUUUGUCGAGCCAAAUAAGAACAAUGGCAGUAUAUAUAGAAAAAGUUAAGUUUAGCAAUUGGAAUUCAAACCUAUCUCAAGGGCCAAAUUGUCAAAAUCAUGGAAAAUAUUUAUUACUCAACCGAAUUUAAGUUAUAGACAAACCACGAGCAACUCUAUAUAAUGUCCUCAAAUCCAAAUCAACAUCAAGGACAAACUCGUCCAGUUAAGGGAAAAUUUACAUUACUAAACCAAUUCAGCCAUAAUCAAAACAGUAACAUCAAAAAUUACAAGUAAGCAUCAACUGUACGUAAAUUUCCAAAACAAUUUUUUAUUUUUAAACCAUACUUUUAAUCAUCAAACAGUAUUAAAACAUAAAGUAUCCAAUGUCAUCAUCACAAAAACAAUUCCCAGAAUCUCAAACAUAAUCUCUAUGAGUGUGUACAGGUCAUGUCGGCGUUUUCCCGUGAUCCUCGCUAGUACCUGAAACACAUAACACAACAACUGUAGGCAUAAAUGCUUAGUGAGUUCCCCAAAAUACCGCAUACAACACAUACGCCUUUCCAGGCCAUAACUCUGUGGGACCUUCCGGUCCAAGUAUCUCAAGGGACUUCCGUCCCAAAUCCCGGUUGACCUUCCGGUCCUACCCGUAUUGACCUUCCGGUCCAUGUCCUCUUGACCUUCCGGUCCAUAUCAUCUUGACCUUCCGGUCCUUUUCAUACAUAACACAUACAUAUCACAUAUCAGCAUAUAUAACACAUAUAAGACCUUCUGGUCACACAUAAGUACCCUUCCAGGUACAGUAUAGUGAGAAGACUCACCUCAAUGAAGUCGAAUAACUCUCGUGCUCAACGUCCCGACCUAGCCUCCUCCUACCAUUCAAAUAACAUCCCCGGUGAAUACUCUCUCAUAGUCUCAUCUUUAAAGAUUGGGUAGAAGGUCAUUCUACCCCUUCCUGAACUCUCUUGAAUCAGUCUUGACCAGAACCCUAAGGUCAACGAAAUUCAAUGGUCAAACUUUGACCCGAAUCGUCGAGUACACAUGGGCGACCCGACGAGUCCAUGCGGGUCCUCUGAACCCUUCCAACCUCUCUUGUCUUGUCGAGUCAUCCUUCCACUCGACGGGUUCCUCCUGUCACGAAUCGCGGGGCAACCCCGACUCGACUCGUCGAGUCCACUUAUGAACUCGGCGAGUCGCUUCUAUGGCCACACUCAAAUGACCUUCUAAGGUCAGAUCUGCUUCUCUAAUCUAUAGAUUUAAUCUUCCCAAGCAUGAUAAUCAUGUAAAGGUCGAAUAUUGGUACACAUGCAACACACCCAAAGCUUCUUUUGGUGAAAUAACCUCUAAAAUGGCCUCCUAGGCUCAUAACUCAAAAGGUAUGGCAUAAAGCAAAGUGGUAAGGACUCUCUGGACCUCUUAAGGUCCAGAUCUAUGAACCAACUCGCUUUGGGACCUCACAUACUCCAGAUUCAACUAAAAGAAGCAUAAAGAAAACCCUAGAUUUCACUAGAAUCAUUAUGAACAUGAGAAUGACACAGAUUAUUACCUCCAACAUCUUCCUCUGACCAAAUAGAAAUGGAUCCAAGCUCCUCAACCCGCCUAGCUUGUUCUACCUCCUUCCUUCUUGCUAAAACACACAAGAAAUGGUGAAUUAGCCUUCUUCUUGCACCACAAAUGAUCUCUAUGCUCUCUAGGGUUUUCAGGGGAGUAAUGGCCGGAAAUGGAGGCCAUAAAGGCCUUUAAAUAGGGCACAGUCGCACAGACCCCGAGAAUUAGGGUUUCAUUCCACAAUGCGAACUCGUCGAGUCCACCUUGCCGACUCGUCGAGUCCGUUCAUUAAUCUAGUCAGCAAGUCGCGGUCCUACUCGACGAGUCCACGACUCGACUCGUCGAGUCCCUCUCUUUACUAAAAAAAAUUGAACAUAAUACUUGAAACUCCAGGUGUUAAAAUUCUCCCCCACUAGAAUCAGACUUCGCCCCCGAAGUCAUGAUCCGCAAACAACUCUGGAUGCUACUCCCGCAUCUCCAACUCCGGCUCCUAAGUCAGCUCGGACCCUUUCCGAUGUUGCCACUGGACCUGAACCAGGGACACCUCCUUGUUCCUCAAAACCUUGAUCUUCCAAUCCCGAAUCGUGAUUGGCCUCUCAACAUAAUUUAGGUUCGCAUCCACCUAAAUAUUCUCCAGCGGCACUACCGCCGACUCGUCGGCUAUACACUUCCUCAACUGAGACACGUGGAAGGUAUCAUGAAUCUGACUCAACUCCGUAGGUAGCUCCAACCGAUAUGCUACCAUGCCUACCCUCGCAGUCACCCUGAACGGCCCAAUAUACCGGGGCCCCAGCUUGCCCCUCUUCCUAAAACGAAUCACUCUUUUCUGUAACGCCCGCAAAUCUGGGCUAGUCAAAUUAGAGGCAAUAGGGGUCGAAAACGACUUUUUGACAAAAGAUUAUUUAGAAUAAANGGUCGAAAACGACUUUUCGACAAAAGAUUAUUUAGAAUAAAUAAUCUUAACCAAGUUGUAGAGUAUGUUACAAGGUUUUCGUACAUAUAAAGAACGCCGAAAACCGAGUUAUAACGAAGAAGUUAUGACCCGUUGAAGUUUCGCGACGGAACCGGCACGAUACCGGGAAGCGUAAAUAGUGAAUUUACGAUAGAGCGAGAUUUAGACUUAGUGAUCUAAACGAAAUUCGUAGAAUAUGUUAAACUAAGAACAUCGAUAAAAGGAACGCCCAAAUCUGACUUCGUAUGAGGAAGUUAUGAUUUUUCUAAGAUUUAGCAUAGCAGUGCACAGCCCGAAAUCUGAAUUUUAGAUCGGUCGAUUUUUAGCCGACGGGAUCUAAAUGAAAGUUGUAGUACUCGUAAAUACCAACGCGUGGAUAUAAAGAACGUCGAUAAUAGAGCUCGUAUGCAAAAGUUAUGGACGAAGCUUAGUCCCUACUUUUCGAGCGCGGCGAAUUCGAUACAGUUUUGUAAAUACGAGAUAAAAUGAGAAUUAGCCAACGAGGUCUAAAUGAGAGUUGAAGAUCUCAUUAAUAGGAACUCAACGGUAAAAAGACAGACAAAAAUGGAGCUCGUAUGCGAAAGUUAUGGACGAAGCUUAGUCCCUACUUUUCGAGCGCGGCGAAUUUGAUACAGUUUUGUAAAUCCGAGAUAGAAUGAGAAUUAGCCAACGAGGUCUAAAUGAAAGUUGAAGAUCUCAUUAAUAGGAACUCAACAGUAAAAAGACAGACAAAAACGGAGCUCGUAUGCAAAAGUUACGGACGAAGCUUGGAGACUACUUUACUAUACACUUCCUAUAAAUACAAGGGUGAACUCCUCAUAUUUUCUUCACACCAUAAGCCUUUCUUUCUCUCUCUAACUUCUCUCUAACCUCCCUAAACCCCUCCCAAGUCUAGGGAACCUCCCUAUCACGAGAAGAAAGCCCCGGAGCGCCCGACGGCUCCGAGAAGAAAAGCUUUCGGCUCGGAAACGCUGCUCCAGCGAAGCCCGGUUUUUAAUAAAAACCCGCUGUAAGUGAGCUACGCCUAUAGUAUAUUUAAUAUAGAUUUUAUUUAAUUAUAGUAACAUUGUUAGGACCUUAAAAUAAUUAUUUAGGCUAUUAUUAUGAGUUAUAUUGAGUGUUAUUUAACGCUUAUAUAAUAGUAAUAAUAGCUAGACUAUUAAAUUAGUCUCGUCAAGCGUUAGACUAAACUCUAGUGGUAAUGAUACUAGGUUUCGUCAAGGGAUAAUUGUUUUAAGAGUAACGAAGUGCUGUCCGAGUGCCGACUCACCACCUUUCAGGUGAGUGCAUAGUCCCUUUCAUCUUACACAUAGAUAUGAAGUAUUUUAUAUAAACUACGUGCUAUGUGUGCACAUUAUCUGAAUACUUGCUGUCUAUGCUGGUUGAACGUUUUAUACAUGUUUUAAAGGACUUAAACUGUAUACGUAUUUUAUAUAUACGAAAAUGUUGGGUAUGAGAUGGGUAGAUGAAUGAUGAGAGAUAGAAGAUGACGUGAGUAUACAUUGGCAGCUAUAGACUUAGUGCCUAUGGGACAAACACCGGUAGCUAUGGACUUAGUACCUUUUAGACGUUGGUAGCUAUGGAUUUAGUACCUGUUGGGAAUUGGUAGCUAUGGACUUAGUACCUAUUAGUUAGACGCUGGUAGCUAAGGAUUUAGUACCUGUAGGAAUUGGUAGCUAUGGACUUAGUACCUGUUGAACAUUGGUAGCUAUGGACUUAGUACCUAUUAGAUAAAGACUGGUAGCUAUGGAUUUAGUACCCGAUGAAUAGACUAUAGCAGCUAUGGAAUUAGUGCUUUAUGAACGAACAUUGGCAGCUAUGGAUUUAGUGCCAGUCCCAUAACCCUGGAAGUAAGGGACUUCGGAAUAAACGAAUGCAGGAUAGAUGACUCUUAGGUUAAAUCCUUAAAGAGUAAAGAAGAUAAUGGGGAUGGGUAAUUGGGUUGAUUGUUUGAUUGAACAUAAUAAUUAUAUUAUUGUGGGUUGAAAACCCUAUGUACUCACCAGGUUUCCCAACCUGACCCACUCAGUUUAUGUAUAUCACAGGUGACGAAGUGAAGUGACAUUACACUGAGAGAUUUAAAAGAGAUGUAGAUCACUAGUGUAAAUCAUUGUAAUUCUGUUUAUGCUUAUGUUUCGGUAUUAACGAUGACAUCCCAAACAUUUUAAAAUGAAAUAAAUACGUUUCUUCGAAAAUGUUUUAAUAACGUAUUUACCAUGUUUUUCUGGGAACAAAUUCCGCAACCUUUUUAUAAAAUGAAGUACUCUGAUUUUUAUAAAGCAUAAACAAAAUCGGUCUUUUCUGGCCGUGAUUUUGGGGAUGUCACAGUUGGUAUCAGAGCAUUAGUUUAAGCGAACUAGGAAUAUGGAUUUAUUUCUAGACUUAAACUUAGAAUGCUAAGCGAUGAUUGUGAGGUGUGAGCACUAGCUUAUUUUAGGAAUUGUGCCUAAAAUGCUUUUAUGUGCUAAAUGCUUUGUGCAUGAUAUGUUGUUAAUUGUUCGGAUCUAUGGUCUGUUGCCGACCGGAUCUGGAAACCUUAUGUGUUUAGGAUUCUAAACGUACGACUACGGUAUUAGAACUAGCAUGUAAAUGUUUCGGAGUGAUAAGGAUGAUUUAAACGUCAAGUAAAGGUCUAAAUUCACCUUAUUCGGUGUAUAGAUCGAGAUGGUAAGGACCCGUAGCGGAAACGUAAACGCAAAUGGGAACAGGAACCAACCCCCAGUGGUUCAGCAAAUACCUGUUGUAGAAGAAGUUGCGCCUGAGCCAGUCACCAUGGCUGGAGUUCAAGCCAUGAUUCGGGCUAUGUUGGCUGAACAAAGGGAAGAAAUGAGACGGAUGUUGAAUAGGGACGAACCUACUAUGCCCAUUGAGCAACCCGAACUGAUUCCCGAGCAAUCUGAGGAAGGGAACUACAGCCGCCAAGUGAGUCAAGUUGGGACUCAAGGUGAGCAAAGGGAUGGCCCAGAAGGGAGAAACAACAAGGAUGGGCGGAUGUACAAGAACUUCUUGGGUGCGAAACCACCAAGCCUCUCAGGAAGCCCAAAGCCGGUUGAGGUUAUGGAUUGGAUCUCUGAGAUGGAGAUGGUGUUUGAGAGCUGCAGCUGUAAUGAGAAACAGAAGACUGUCUUUGCAGUAAGACAGCUGAAAACUGGAGUCUUGAGCUGGUGGAAGCUAUUGGCAGAUACGAUGCCACGAGGAGAAGCCUUAAGGAUGUCGUGGGAAGAGUUUUUGGAACAGUUGAAAAUGCAGUACUGCUCGGAGGUAGAUCUGAUAGACCUAAACAACGAGUUUCAGAACCUGAAGAAAGGGAAGAUGAGUGUUGAUGAGUAUGCCACCGCAUUUACCGAGAGGAUGAAGCUAUUUCCCUACUUGGUGCCUACUGAACUCUCCAAGAUUGAUAGGUUUGCUAACGGACUGCCCACUGACUUUGGUCCAAUGGUCAAAAUGGCAACUACCUUAAAAGCAGCUAUUAGGGCAGCUAAGAACGUAGAGGCCCAGAUAAGAGAAAAGGGUCUAGAAAAAGAUAAGGCAGGAGAGAAGCGAAAGUUUGAGGGAUCUUCGAGGUCGAACAAGGAAAGCAAAUUCUCAAAACUCGGAGGAGCAGAUGGAGGUGAAACAAGAUGGUGUGAUAAAUGCAAGAAGAAGCAUGGUGGGAAGUGCAACGAAGAAGUGACUUGUUACAAGUGUGGGAGGACGGGUCACUAUUCCAAAGACUGCACACAUAAUGACAAAGUAUGCUACGGAUGUGGAGGCAAGGGGCACAUGUCCAGAGACUGCCCAAGGAAAAAUAAAGCAGCAAGACCAGAAACGCCACCAAGGCCAAGGGCAUUUCACAUGAUCCUCGACGAAGCAGAGAACCAUGCGAGGAAUCAAGAAUGAGGACUUCUUACCCGAAGAUCGGAUUAUGCAGUAGCCAUAGUUUCGUAUGAUGUAGCCUAGUAGAGGCAUAGUCUAGGGUGAACUUGAACACCUAUGUAAUCGUUUCAAGAAUUAAUAUAAAACCUUCGUUUUGUUAUCUGAUGUGUUGAAUGAUUGUGUGAUUUGCUGCAUGGUGACUUGGGAAACUGCGAGACAAUACUUGGGACGAGUAUGAGUAGGUGUGAAUGGUAGUAGAGGCCUAUACUACCGGAAGCACAGGACUCACACUUGGAUCAGGGAAAGUCACAAGGUUACCAAGAAGCUAGUAAUUGAUUUCGUUUUAUUCAAGUGUGUUGUUACCAUCGUUUCGGUAAUGACUAAGAAGAUUGUUGAUAUUCCGACCCUAGUGGUCAUAUCGAAUCGAGUCCGACUACGAUGAGUAUGUUGUGUGGUUCAGAGAACCAAGUUUGAUGUAGCGUCCGACUUAAACCAAACGGUUGAAAUCAAAGCGAUCAAUAGAAGUAUCGCACUCGUUGUUAAAGAAGUUGGUGGCUAGAAAUGCCUAAUGUUAAAGUGUGAUUAUAUCACAUUAGAACAUGAAGGAAGGCAUAGUCUGUUUUAGAAUUUAACUCUAAGAGACCUAAGUCUAAGUGUUGCAACAUACGAUGAUAGGUCAUUAGAAUAUGACACAUCGAUCUAUAGUAGUAAUAAAAGAACUUAUCUCAAGUCCGUAUCCAGCAAGGAUCGAGAUUGUGACUUGAAGGUCAUAAUUUGGAGUCUAACCUGAGGUGGAGAGCAGGUGCACGAUCGAGUACUCUUACAGUCAAUGAGUUUAAGAGAUAGAAUUGAAGGAAUGUAGAAGUUAUAAUUAUUUCCUAGGAUGAAGAGAUGACGUAUGGAGUCAUUAUACGACCAUGUUUCAUUGAUGAUUCCGGGACGUAAUCAUCCUAAGGGGGAGAUAAUUGUAACGCCCGCAAAUCUGGGCUAGUCAAAUUAGAGGCAAUAGGGGUCGAAAACGACUUUUUGACAAAAGAUUAUUUAGAAUAAAUAAUCUUAACCAAGUUGUAGAGUAUGUUACAAGGUUUUCGUACAUAUAAAGAACGCCGAAAACCGAGUUAUAACGAAGAAGUUAUGACCCGUUGAAGUUUCGCGACGGAACCGGCACGAUACCGGGAAGCGUAAAUAGUGAAUUUACGAUAGAGCGAGAUUUAGACUUAGUGAUCUAAACGAAAGUCGUAGAAUAUGUUAAACUAAGAACAUCGAUAAAAGGAACGCCCAAAUCUGACUUCGUAUGAGGAAGUUAUGAUUUUUCUAAGAUUUAGCAUAGCAGUGCACAGCCCGAAAUCUGAAUUUUAGAUCGGUCGAUUUUCAGCCGACGGGAUCUAAAUGAAAGUUUUAGUACUCGUAAAUACCAACGUGUGGAU